rnacentral:lncRNA from 1 species
UUAGUUGUUUAGCACUGAUUGUGCUCCCCUCGUAGUUGUUGAGUGAUCAUGUAUGUAUUCAAGUGAUUUCCUGGGAACUUGUUGUACAUGAUCUCGCUGUUGGCCUUGGGCGGACAGGGGAGGUGCUAUCCGUUCGGCGUCUUUUCGACGCGCCCGAACUGGACCAAAUUGGUAUCGGUUUCGGGGCGUGACAUGUUGACUGGCUGACUGCCAUGAUACAUAAGGAUUAAGGAGGUUUAGAAAAUUUAAGCUAUAUAUGAUGUAUGAGAUUUUUUGUUUAAUAUACUUGACAAGGCAUUAAGUUAAACGAGCAAGAUUAUGUCUCUCAUGCUUGUUUAGGUUAGAUAUUAGGUAAUUAUUGCAUUAUCAUUGAUUAAAGGUUAGAUAUUCUAGAUAUAUUCUAAGUAAAUUUUGAAUGAACUUUGAAACAUUUAUAUCCGUAAGAGUCCUGAAAGUCAUCUGCUUCUGAAACUUUUACACAUUGGUUUGGAGAAAGGACAAAAUUAAAAGGCAGAUAUACUAGCCAUAAGGUUAAUAAGUUUCCUGUUUUAUUCUGCCUGAAGUUCCUGCUUUAUUCUAUCUGAGCCUUAUUCCUUCACCUGUAGAGAUGUUCAUCUCAUUUCUCUGUUCAGUAAGGAAGCAGUAAGAAACAAUUAGUUCAUGAUAGUCAUUAUUGAUUCAUUAGGAUUUUUUUUUUUUGGACUCUUUAAGUACUUCAAAAUUUCCAGACUUAAAAAUAAAACUUCAAAGGGCUUUAUAUCCCUCUCACAUUUUCAAAAAACUUAACUUUCCCAGUAAGAGUCCAAGUUUCUCAGUUAAAAGUUCGUCUCUUCCAUACAGAUCCACCCUGCCAUCAGCUGUCAACUCUUAAGUAAUGAAAAUUUAUUCUUGGAUGAAAAGAACCAUUUUAUCGUCAUCUUCCGCCUCUCUUCCACUCCUCCACAUUGAUCAUCUUAUGAAAGGACUGUACUUCUAAAAAAUAAUCAAACCUACCAACUAUUGACUAAAAUGUUUAAUUACGCUCAUUCUAAUAGAAAACUUAAAUUUGUUAGAGAAGUGCUACUAAAGAUGCUUCAGCUUCACGGCUAGUGCACAAGUACAUCGAUAGCCAAUGUCACCAUGCUCUAUAUAAAUUUCAAAUUGUCACAAAUUCAGACAAAGAUAAAAGAGUUAGGGACAAAAAGGAAACAAAAAAAAAAAGCGGUCCUCCAUUAUAAGGAAUAGAAUCAUGUCAAACAAGAAACUAAUAAUAAGGCAAACCUGCUUGGCAUAUAAGGAAAGCAACAAAUUAUGCACUCCAGAAUCUUCAUUAUGCAAUUUCUUCACACAGAACUCCAAGUACUUAAUGACCUCAUGUGUCUCAUUCCUGUAACCACGAAGUCAGUUAAGUCAUUCUAUUUCAAAAAGGCUUGGUUACAUCAUACACUAUCAAGUGCACAAACGACAAAAAAAAUUAACAUUUGCAGACCACAGUAAAAUUCACUUUCAAUAGUGCAAGAUAGAAAAACCAAAUUAAUUUCAUAUUAUAUCAUUAGUCCUAGUGGGAGUAGAACAGGUUAGGAACAGCUCAGCUUGUUUUCACAUCCAAAAUGUAUGAUAUGCUGGGUUUAAGGAGAUCUGCCAAAAAUCCAUCAAGGCCGUACAAUAGGGUAAGAAACUACAUGGCUAUUAUACAUUGCCAAAGAAAGUAAUUAAUAAGAAACGAAUUAGAACCUGCAAAAAGAAUGUUAGUAAUACUUUCCAAAUGAUCCCUGGGCAAUAAGAUGCAAAUACAUGUUCUACUAUAGGCAAUACAAGAUUGCGCCAGUUGUCAUUGGAAAUAUUCUAAAAGCAAUAGGAAAGAAACAAAUUGGAAACAUGAAUAACAUUUGAACAAUUGAUACUUGGCAUGUGGUUCACUUGCAUAACGCAUCAUUGCUGGAAUAAGUUUCCUGGGGUUCAAGUUGCCUGUAUUCAUCCAUGAUUCCACAGUCUCGUAAGCAUCAAGACUAAUCAAAUCAGGGGCAAAUUUAUACUGCAAGAAAUAUGAUAAACAACCAAUAAAACAAAUUGUUGAUUUUGUAUUUGCAUGUUUGAGAAAAUUAAAGACAAACUAAAUCAACCGAACAAAACCUGAAGAUCGAUAGGUACAUUCCGUCUCUGAAGGACUUCCAAUGCUCUCUUUGCUUCUCCUUGCUUAAUACAACAAUAAAAACCUAUUAAACAUCUGCUCACUCUAUAAGCAUUCUAGUCAUUUUAAUCAGUAGCUUCUAUCUUCAAGAUUUCUAGCCCUAAGUAACCAUUCUAAUAAAGCCAGGUAGAAUCACUGAGCAUAUAUAUAUAUAUAUAUAUAUGUUAUCAAUUUUUAAUGAAUAAGCAACUGAAAUAAUUGCAACUAAAUAGUAUAACAUUUUUCUAGAAGUACUACUCAAGACCAUGCCAUACCUGAAUGUAGUGAUGGACCACAAUUUCAUACUUUUCUUUCAAACCAGCAAAAUAAACCAGCUCUUCGACUCUCCCGUAACUAAAAGAAUUUGUUAAGGUAAGUGGGCUGUUUUAUGCAACCUUGUCCUCACAAUUAUUAUGCGAGAGAGAGAGAGAGAGAGAGAGAGAGAGAGAGAGAGAAUCCUUCUUCUAUCAAAACAAACAGCAUAACAUACAACAGAAAACUAAUGUAACAGAUUAAAUCUCUGAGCAAGUAUUCAUACAGAAAGCCCUCUAUGUGAAGAAACUAUAUCACCAGCCACGAUGUAUGAAAUCCUCAAAAUACUAUAUUGAUGACUACACAAGGAUAUCACACUUGACAUCUCAAGUCAUAAUAAUCACUAGUCAAUACCACUAUUCAUUUAGGAAGCCACAUUAAGCAACAUAUAGUAGCAGCUGUGGUGUAUGGAAUCCUCAAGUUGCUACAAUGAUGACUAGACAAGGAUCUCACACUUGACAUCUCAAGUCAUAACGGUCACUACCUGUAGAUUUGUGCCGAUUGGCAAAAAAUAGCAAAUCCUACUGCAAUGGCAAAAAUCUAUGUCACAUCUAGCAGGGCAUAACUCUACUAAUUUUCAAACGGUAGUAAAAUGGUUAGUAAAGAACAAACAGCCAUUAAUGGGCACAAAGCCCAUACUUGUGAUAUUAGGUGAAACUAAUUAAAGAGAUUGAUAACGAGGCAGAACACACAAAAAAAAAAAAUAAUGCAAAUAGGGCAAAAAGAAAGACGUGCAAUCUCCUCGUGUUUAUUAUCAAUUGUCUAUUGACCAUUGUAUAUUAGUACAAUGAUAAAUUUUCUAAGUAAAAUUAUGAAAAUUAAAAGGAUAAUAUAUAGUAAAAUCUGCAUUUCCUAUGGAUUUCAUGAUUUCAUCUGCUGAAAUCACAGUCACUGCAUGUACAAUACCGGUAGAAUAUCAGCAGUCUAUGGUAGGUAUUGACAGUGCCACCAGGCCACCAAUUUAAAUUGGUUUACGAUACUUCUUAACAUUCAUCUUACAAAACUAUUCCAUGAAAAGAAACUUUUCUACAAUCUAAUGAUAAAAAAUCUAAUAAAAAGGUACAUGCCAACAGUAGAAUUGGUGUACUGCAAUACAUUUCAUGGCAAGUAUCAUGCUGGCAUUAGAGGAUGCAAAAGCUUGCUACUUCAAUCUAAUGACAGAGAUUUAACCACAUUGUUUGUAGCUGGUAAGUAAAAAUAAACUAAAAUCUGUGCUAGAUCAGACUACCUAUCUGCAAAUCAUGUAUUGCAUUUGAACACAAUUGUACCUCUCGAGUAACCUCAUUGUUGUUGCCUCAUCCAAUACAUCCUUGUUGUCACUAAGAAAAGCUCUAAAUUCUUUUACAAUUGAUUGGUACUCUGACAUACCCUGAUCUGACACUGUAUUAGCAAUCUUGCUCGUGUCAUCUUCUAACAAAAGGCGAUUAAUCUACAAAAGAGUACCAGCAAUUACAACCAAGUAGUGACAUGCCAUGAUUAAGUUGUGGCAUGUAUUAAAAGCAUCACAAUACCAGUAAUUAAAUUCCUGCAGAAAAUCAAAGCCAUUUGAUAACAAUUCUUUGUUUAAUAAUCAUUUGACAUAUUCCAGUAUUUUGUAGAUUAGGUGGUUAAUCAAGAAAAAGCAAACAAAGAAAAGUUUUUACUCCUUGGGCAUCUCUCAGUAAAAGAAGUAGAGUUUGACACCGCUUGUCUUUAGCAGUGCCUCAACUAGACAAGACUGUUAACUAACAGUUUUCCUGGUAAGAUAGUAUGCAACUAAGGCUCCGUUUGGGAUUGCAAGAAGAUUGCAUUAUGUGCAAAGAGAAAAUCCAAUAGGAAAUAUUUCGUUUCCUUUCAUAAGUGCCCGGUGGCAUUAGGUAGUCCUCAAUACCAGAUGAGCCCUAACCCAGGCCCAAUAGAUACUUAUUGUCUAGAAAUGGUAUAAUUGUAUAAUGCACUAAAUACGCAUGUAAUUUAUUAAGAAAAUUGACCAGAAGGGCAACCUUGUCCAAGUACAGUUCUGUAGCCCAUGUGGAGAUCAUUGUGAUUUGAGAUUUAUCAUCCUUCAUGAGAUUAUCAAGCUUUCUUAAUAAGAAAGUCCUAAGAGCAUCCUGCAUAAUAGAGACAAAUGUUUGACAUAAUUCNGCCCUAACCCAGGCCCAAUAGAUACUUAUUGUCUAGAAAUGGUAUAAUUGUAUAAUGCACUAAAUACGCAUGUAAUUUAUUAAGAAAAUUGACCAGAAGGGCAACCUUGUCCAAGUACAGUUCUGUAGCCCAUGUGGAGAUCAUUGUGAUUUGAGAUUUAUCAUCCUUCAUGAGAUUAUCAAGCUUUCUUAAUAAGAAAGUCCUAAGAGCAUCCUGCAUAAUAGAGACAAAUGUUUGACAUAAUUCAAUCAAAUUUUAAAACGAAAAAACUAAUAUACAUAAAAGAAACUGAAAAUACUAUUAUCUUAAAGCAAAAUAUAGAUCCCAAAAGCAUUUGACUGUACAUUGGCCAACUUACGGCAAGCAUCAGAGAAAUUGAAAGAAAGGUAUUAACUAGUAGGGGAAAUGAACAUCAUUAUGAGCGAUUAUCAUCAUCCAAAAGUUCUUCCAACAAGAAAGAGUUGGCUAGAGCACAUUUCAACAUUUAUAAGACUCCAUUUGAAGAAAAGAAGGAAAAUGAUCAGAAUGGAAAAUAUAGGAUGCAGUUAUGCACUAUAGGAAGAUGUAUCGGUUUAAAAACACUUUGGAUUUAAGAAUUAUAUUCCAUAUCACAUAAAGUAUGAUCAUAAGAUUUGUUCGGCCAUAGAGGAUCAGUUGUCCCAAGCUAAAUGACUACAAAUUUAUGUGACUCAAAGAACUUGACAUUUAAAAGUGGCCAUUAUGAUGCCAUUGCAAGCCUGCAUGGAUGAAAUGAAGUGAAAUUGAUAAUGAUAGAGGUAGAAACUGGUAUAUAGCCAACUUUUAUAUCUUUUAAGUCGUGUUUCAUAGAAGAUACAAAAGAUUUGACCAAAAAAGCAACAACAGGCAACAGGGAGGGGAAAAAAAAUAUAUACAUCCAGAUCUAGAAGUAAACACAAUAAAGGAGUUCGAACAAGUAUCGAAGAACCACCAAGUGAGUAAGCACCAGACAUCAAAGGUCAGAAUCUACAAGUCUAGUAUCACAACAAUGCAGGUACUACUGAUCAUGGAUUUAAGUGUCGUGGCACAUGGUUGUACCGGAAACUUGCCUACACGGCACUGCACGGUGCGUGCCGGGGCCGUGCCGAUGCAUGCCGGUCACAAAAAAUACAUGUGUGCCGACACAUAAUGGCAUGAAAUAUUUAUUUUCUUUAGCAACAAAAUAUUUUAAUGGUUUAUUAUGUAUCUUUUAUCAAAUCUUUUGAACUUUAUUGAGAAAAUUACUUACUAAUUUGAAGAAUAAAGGGUUUUGAGCUGUGCCAUCGGCACAGGGACCGUAUCGUGCCGAUAUCUUGUUGGCAUGAUACGGCACGGUAGAUACGGCCCAUGCCGAUGGGCACUUAUAUCCUUGCUACUGACCAAUCCAAGGUAGGUGGUACAUACGUCUGUGAAAUAUUGUAAAGGCAAAGAGGGUUACACGUCCUCGUUAUUGUAGGUUCACAUUUGCAAUGGACACAAGCAGUGACAUGACCCCGCAUCACAUGAAUGACAGAGGACAGGUACUUUAAUCAACAUAGUUCCAUCAUAACAUGAGCCUAUCUACCUUGUAAAUGCCUAAGCCUAAGUACGCACUACAAUUUCACAGAAGAAAAACAAACAAAAUUGUUAACAUUCAAAAGAAUCAAAACACAAAAUCUGCCUACAUUAAUAAGUAUUAUUUCAAACCAACUCAAGUUGCAACAACCACGCACAAACAUCCCCUCUCCCCCGAAAACAAAAAAAAAAAAAAUCUCCAUGAACAGAGAUAAUACAUUGUACCAUAAAAUAUAAUUCUGAACUCAUAUACAUCCAUACAAUGCGAUGCUGCAAUCCUAGGUUAAAAAAAACUCCAGAAAUAGAACAGAAAUGUUUAUUCCUGUUACCUGCUCACCUACGGUGAUGAACUUUAAGCUGAUCUCCUCAAAUGACAAGACAUAGUUUAUCUGAAAAAAUGAACACUAUAGUGAGUACCUAUUUCAUAUAUGAAUGAUAAGAACAUUUCACCUCUCCAUAUGAUCUACUUUCAAUGUCUAAAUCUCAUCUAACAUAUAAUGGGUAUUUAUAAUGAAAACUUGUUAAGUGGAAUCAUAGAGUGAACUGUUCACCUAGGAACAAAAGAAAGAAAUAAUAGAAAAGCAACGCUCAAGCCUGUUUUUCUUCUCUUUUCAUUUUUUUUUAUUUGAAGUUAUUGAAGCCGUUAAAUAGUAGCCUUAAUGUACCAAUUUAUUUAGGACGGAAAGAAACUAAAGACAAAAAGGAAAUAAGACUCCAAACUGAAAAUUUUGUCACAUUAAAUAAGGGGCUGUUUAAUUCAUCUGAAAGUGUGGAAAAAUUUCUUACCAAGAAAAAAGUUCUCCAUGAGAGACUACUAAUUCAAUUUUCCACACGUUUGGUUCUAAAGAAAACUAGCUUUUUUUGGAAAGAACUAGUAUUUUCGUUUUGCUAAACAGAAUUCAUAAAAUGAAAACAUUAGUUUGCCAUGAAAUUUGAAAAACAGCUUUCCAAAAGUAUUAGUUUUCCUUAUAAUCAAACAGGCAGAAAAACUGAAGAAGUUUUCCAUAGAAAACUCUUUUCUUGGAAAACAUUUUUCCGCACUUCUUCAAGGAACCAAACAGACCCUAAAGGUUGCAAAAUAUACAACAUGCUUUAUUGAAGAUGACAAUAAAUUUCUCUAACAUGUAGAGUGGUAAAAGAGGGAAGGAACCAGGCAAUCAUGCCCAGAAAAAAAUAGGCUUCACUGUCCACAUGCAUUACUCUACAUGCAACACAUUUAUCUAGAUAACGAGCACAGAAUAGAAAGAUGGAGAUGUAUGCAAAUCACGUACACAUAUGUAUGAAACACUAUGCUACACUUUUUAUUCUUUUCCAGUAACAUAAUCAUUUAUCACCCUUUUGUGAUAUUUAAUGGAGCUUAAGCCCAAGAAUCAUAUAUUAAUCUACAUGCAUUACUCUCCACAUGCAGUCAUGUCCAGAAAAAAAUAGGCUUCACAUCUCCACAUGCAUUACUCUACAUGCAACGCAUUUAUCUAGAUCACGAGCACAGAAUGAAAAGUUGGGAAUGUAUGUAAAUUACAUACACAUAUGCAUGUAACACUAUGCGACAUUUAUUCUUUUCCAAUAACAUAAUCAUUUAUCACCCGUUUCUGAUAUUUAAUGGAGCUAAGGCCCAAGAAUCAUACUGGUACAUACUACAGAAAAGUACAUUAGCUCAGGUAAAGAUCAAUUACAGGACUAAUUAAACUAGUAGUUUAUUUAAAGCAAAAAAAAAGGCACCAUCCCAACGUGCGAUGUCAAUAAGUUUAAAAGAGGCAUCAAUGGGAAGAGGAGAUGAAAUAUAAUUAGUUAAGGUCUCACCUUCGCAUAGAAUGAUGCUGCUCUGUAGUAAUCUUUUGAUGAAAACGCAAGGUCAGCCUGCAAUAAAAACUGAUUUAUGUACAUUUUCUCAAUAGGUAAACCAUAUAAUAAUGGUACUGCAUGUUACCUGCACUAAAUAUACUUGGUCCCUCUGGGAAGGAUUGCGACAAUGGGAUAGAGCAGAUGCAUAUUCCUUCAUAUCCAGGUACACUUGCCACAUGUCUCGGCCCUCAUCAUGGACAGACACCUAUUGUAAAGAUGACCUCAUCAAACAACAUCCGUAAGCAGAUAAAUGAAGAUAAAAUUACAAGAAAAUAGCACAGAAAUGGAACCAAACCUGGAAGAUAGAAUUUUCAUCAUAAGCAUAAAAUAAUCCAGCAGUGGCAUCGCUACACAAUCCAAUGAUUCCUUUGGACGACUCUGAGUUAUGGUCAAAUGUAAGUUCCUCAACGGCCUCCUGGCUGAUUCUGUUAACAACCUGCAAAGAAGGGUAAACAAUUUGAAGGCAUUUGUCUAGUGAGAAUAGACCAAUUCAUUCCUUCAAAAUAUGCGAUGCAUAGAGAUGAAAGAAGAUUGCAAAGACAAGCAACUAUUGGGGUAAAGAGUCAUUCAUCUAAAGUAGCACCUCUAAACCAAUGGUAAACUAAAAACUCCUAGCUAGUGUGUGUAAGGUACCGAACUCCUAAAGUUAUGAAGUUAUGGUGUAUGUUGGUUUGGAAAGCCAUUAGAAUGGUUCCGGUGAAAUUCGGAAGCAUUCGGGUGUUUCGGUACGCGUAGGGCAUGAAAACGGAACCCGAAAGGCUAUGUUGGACCAUGGACUAAAUCCGCCGUAAGCGUGGAUGAAAAGAUGAUGUAAAUACGCUCAAAAACAUGUUUUGGGGGGUCUCGGUACGAUUUGAGGUGAAUCGAAGACCCACAGAGCGAAAACGGACCAAAACGGAGCGAAAUCAGCGAAAGCUGAAUUUCACAGUUUUUCUGGACCUUCGGGGUCCGGACCCCGUAGCUGCGAACAGCCCAGUUCGGGCUGUGCACAAGUUGGGAAGUUGAGGGGGUUUUCAGCAAUUUGUGCUAAUGGGGUUUAAAGAGAGAGUUGAGUUAGCUCUCUCUCUCACUCUCCCUCACACCUUGCAACCCUAAACCACCCUCUCUCUCUCUCUCUCUAAGCCUUCUCACCCUCUCUCUUCAAGGAGAAGAGCAAAAGAAGGAGAAGAAGGAGAAGAAGCUUGAAGGAAGGCUCUCCAUCUUCUUCAUCUUCUUCCUUGGCCAUUGGGGCAAGCUUUAAGAUAAGCUUUUAGGGCUUUAAUGGUAGAUCUCUAAAGCUUUAUUUGUAUGCCCUAGAAAUGGAUUUAGGAGAAUCCUAGGAUGUUAAUAGGCUGCUAGUUGCUUGAAUCUAAGGUUUGAUUUAGUGUUCUUGCAAUAGUAGCAACCUAGGACUUCAAGUUGGAGUUUUGCUAUAUGUUAGGGUUUGAUCUAAAUUAGACCCAUGUAAACCCAAUUGCUAGGUGUACGAACACGCUGGUGAAGUCUGUUCAGCGAUCUGUCGAGCCUACGCGAAGAUAUUGCCGAAACAGACGUUUCGGCUUCGUUUCUGCCUGGAAGGCCGAGGCAGCGUCCAAAAAUCAUGAGAACGGAUCCGGAGCAUCACGGCGUCAAGCUGUAGACCUUUAAUAUCCGGGGGCGCGAAUCGGCGCACGGUUGGUGUGCAAUUGCAAGAUCGGGCCGAGGAGGGCGACGUGUGCCGCUGGAGGCCGAUUGCAAGUAACUACAAGCAAUCAGAGAGCGAUUCGAGGUGGGUUGUGCUCACCGAAGUUAUUAGCUCGCUUCCAUGUCGAAGCGAAGUGUAGUUCUCAUUGAUGCAUGUAAUGUAAAUGCUAGAUAAAUGCAUAUAAUGUGAUGAAUGCUAGAUGAAUGCAUAUAAUGUGAUGAAUGCUAGAUGAAUGCAUAAAAUGUGUUGAAUGCUAGAUGAAUGCAUGAGUUAAUGGCUUUAUGAAUGCAUGAUUCAUAUUGUACUAGAUGAUGUAGCCUACCAUUAGAAUCUACUAGAUGAGAUGCUAGAUGGAAAUGUAUGCAUGUUGAUAUAUCUUGAGAUACGAGUUUAUAUAUAUAUGCAUGUUGAUGUAUUGUGGACUAUGUUAAAUAACAUAUGCAUGUUGAACUUGGGUCUAUAACUCUUGGAUGGUUAGAAAACUUGACGUUGGAAAACGAGUAUAAUGCCUGAUGUGGACAUGUAGGAUGUCAAUAGAUCGAGUGGCAUGUGAAAUACAAGUGUAGUAUUAACACUAUGAUAUGAACAUAGGGAUAGAGGAUUUCCCGUGUUGUUAAGAGUGGCAUUUGAUAUUAGUGUAAAGAAACACUUUGAUCAAUGAACUUAGGAAUAGGUGAAUUUUCCCUAGAAGUGACAUGUUGCAUGAGAGCUUAGUACAGUUGAGACACUAUGAUGUUGAACAUAGGGAUAGUUGGAUUCCCGUGUGGAUGUUAACCCUAGUUGACAGGGUAUCCUCAGUUGACGAGGAUUAGAUCAAGCCUGUUUUAUGCUUGUGGUGGUCGCUCCACACAAGCCGUGCACUCCGGAGUUGGUCACACUAGGGGCAGUAGUUAGCUGUCCGCAGGCGGUCUCGGGUGAGUCGAGCGGUUGGGACUCCUCACCUAUGGGAUUUGAGAUGUGAGUCGAGGGCGAACCUUCGGGUUAGCCAAGUGAUUGGGUGAUAAGCACAUGAGCUGUAGUGAUGUCCCAGUUAAGUGGAUUUAAGGCUGAGAUGCAAGUGAGUGGUCCUUCGCCUCGUGCCUGGCUUUGCGCGGUAUUCCGCAGAUGAUUGACUCAAGACCGAGUCGGGUGGCUAGCUUUGUAAAGGUAGAUGAAACUGUAUGAUCAAAAUGGUAAAUGACAUGAAUCUAAGAUAGAGGAAAACAUAGAAGUCAUCUUAAGUUGCAUGAAUUUCAUAUUCCAUAUUAUGACACAUAACAUGUAUUUCAAUACUUGAAUAUAUAUAUCUAUUGUAUAUCUGUUGGACUAAUAUGUUGCAGCGCCUCCUUGGACCUGGUGGGUCGAGCUCUUCCCUUGGAUGGCCGUAUGUAAGGAAAUGAAACCGCGAAACAUAAAUCCGAACUUCGAUCAAAAUCGAUCGAAGAUGAGUUCGGAACGCUUCGGAAAGGCCGAAUGCGUCAAAAACGCAUUUAGUGCAUUGAGGGAGGACUUUGGAGAGUUGGAAUUGCAAAUCUGCAAUUUUCAAGUUUUUACCACUCUCGGGGUCCGGACCCUAGCUACAGGGUCCGGACCCCGUAGCUGCGAAAAGCCCAGUUCGGGCUGUCACAUGUUUGGAGAGUUGAGGAGGUUAUUUGCACUUGUGUCAUUGUAGGAGUAUAUAGAAAUGAUUGGAAGCUCUCUCUUCUCUCCCUCACCCUUUUAACCCUAAAUAGCUCUCUCUUUCUGUGACGCCCCAACUUCCCAAGAGGUCACCCAUCCUAGGCUACUCCCGUCCUAGCACGCUUAACUCUCUUAACCUCUUGGGCCUUGCCACCACCCAAAAUACUUAAGCCGGGUUAAGAGUUUAGCCCUAUUAUAUCUUAUAUAUAGGACUAUCUGGGGUCUCACACUCUCCCCUUCUUUAAGCCCUGACGUCCUCGUCAGGCUCAGACUCACAAGUACCAGGCGAUGUGAGACUCAUCUCAACACUUCCGGCUGGUAAUUGGCUCUGAUACCAUCUGUGACGCCCCAACUUCCUAGGGGGUCACCCAUCCUAAGACUACUCCGUUCUAGCACAGCUUAACUCUCUUAACCUCUUGGCCUUGCCACACCAAAAUGCUUAAGCCGGGUUAAGAGUUUAGCCUAUUAUAUCUUAUAUAUAGGACUAUCUGGGGUCUCACACUUUCACUCUCUAAGCUCUCUCCUUCCUUCUUCCUCAAGGUGGAUUAGAGGAAGGAUUGGUGGGGAGAAGGCUAAGGAGUGGAACAUCAUCAUCUUCUCUCUUCUUCUUCAGCUUGGAGGAAGCUUUUGAGGUAAGCUUUAACCUCUUUAAUGGUGAUUCACUAGGGUUUAUCUUUUAUUACUCUAGAAUUGGCUUAGAUGGAACUCUAGCAUGCUUAAUGGAGGAUUAAUGCAUGAAUCUAGAACUAGAUCAAUGGAUUCUUCCAUUUGGUUGCAACCUAGGGCUCCACAUGGGGUUCUUGGGAAAUAAAUGGGUUUUGAUCUAAAUUGAUUAUAUAUAAACCUAAUUGCUAGGUGUGUAACGCGUUGGCGACGACGGUUCUGCGAUUCGUCGGGCCAGUGCGGAGAUAUCGACAAUGAGGCAUUUCGCUUCGUUUCCGCCGAGAGGUCGAGGCGCGCGGACUUAAGAUCACGAAAUCAGAUCCCCAACCUCGUUUAUGUCGCUUAGAGGGGGGUUCGGUCAUCCCGAAGCAGUUGAACCGCUCCCUAUGUCUAAGUUUCGUUAUCGACUAUGUUUAGCAUAUUGAGAUCUUGCAUUAUGGGGGUUAGAUGAUGGUUUGUUGCAUACUUGCAUGCUCCUUGGUAGAGUAGCAUAUUCGGCUUAGCCACUUGAACCUAGGAUGCAUGAGGCUUACAUAAUGUGACUUGGAACCCUAUAAUGAGAUGAUAAAAUGGUGAAUGUGCCCUUGUGUGGGUGAAAGCCUCAUGAUGUAUUAAACUAGUGUAUUGGAAACACUUAAACAAGAACGAGUGGCAUCUUAUUAAAUGUUAAACAUAUAUGUGUGGCAUAAGAACUUAGUGUAGUUGAAACACUUUGAUGAUGAGUAUAAGAGUACUCGGAUUUCCAUGAUGAUGAUAACCCUAGUUUGUAGGGUAUCCUCAGUUGACGAGGAUUUGGAUCUGUGCAUCGCGUAGCCUGUUAUAUGAUUGUCUGUUGGCUCGCUCCACACCAGCUGUGCACCUCCGGAGGUUUAGUCACACGAUAGGGCAGUUGCUAGCUGUCCGCAGGCGGUCUCGGUGAGUCGAGCGGCUUGGGACUCCUCACCUAUGGGAUUGAGACGUGAGUGAGGGCGAACCCUUGGGCUAGGCCAGUAUUGGUGAUCUAAUGAAUAGAUUGUCGUUGACACAUAGUAGUAUGAUAGCUAGUCUUUCACUAUGUAAUGCAUGCAUUCAUUUAUAGCGGAUUGACGGAUGGUAGAUUACUUGCAUACCUUUUUACUAUGCAUUUGUUGCUUACAUACCUGCCUAUCUAUCUUUCUAUCUGCCUAUGCCUGCUUAGACUAGUGAGGAGAUCGGCGGAGUCGGCGGCGAACCCACUGGAACUAUGGACAAUAGUUCUCACCCCACUUGUUGCGGAGCGAGUUCGAGCACCCCAGGUGAGGAUCGUGGUAAGGGCAUAGCGCCCCUAGUGGUUGUAGAGACUUCCUUUUGCAUUAGAGCUACCUAUGUACAUAGUAUAGACGAUGUAUAGGUAGUGAUGGUAUUUUGGGAGAAUUGUAAACCUUUACGUUUAAUAUUGAAUAAUGAAAAGUAAUCAAAUGUAUUAACUGUUGAACUGUGAUGUAAUAUUGAAAUCUCUCUUUUGUUCACUUGUCCAUCCUCAGUGACACUUGCUCUUAUUUGUUUCAGCCACUGGUUUGUGCUCUCGCUGUUAUUGUUGAUUGUGUAUAUAUUUCAAGUUGUUUUUGCCUGGGCACUUGUUGUAACCAAUCUUGUUUGCUUAGCCUUGGGGACAGGGAGGUGUGUCCGUCUGGCGUCUGUUCGACGUUGCCCGAACCAGACCAAUGUGGAAGUGGUCUCGGGGCGUGACAGAUAAGAUGUACCAGAGCGGGUUAAGUGCAAGUAAGAGAGAGUCUAGGUCGACCUAGAAGACCUUAGGACGGUGAACCUUAGGAUAUAGGUGAUGUGAGUGCAACGUGAACCUAUAACGGCGGCGGAAGUUGAUCGAUUGGGUCGAAAGUUGAUGUUAUGUCUCUAGCCAGUUGCUAGAGAUAGAUUCAAGUGAGUACUAGUUCUUGGCUCGAAGUGGUGACUGUCGGCGGCCGACACACGCGCUAAGAGUCCUAGGAUGAUGUGCAUCUUGCUGUGCUGCUCGUGAUUUCUCGAUGUUUGAAGUCGCGUUGUUCACGCCCCCGCAGACGCUACAAUUUGGUUCGGCGUGACACUGGCGCGUUCGAACAGCGCCCGUACGGACAGACCUCCCUGUCGCCCCAAGGCUAACAACAAGCUUGUGUAAACAAGGCCCCAGGCAAAAGUAACUUGAAUACAUUACACAAUCAGAUAACUUACAACGAGAGCACAAUCAGUGCCAACAACCAAGAGCAAGAUACAAGUAUAGACACAUCAAGUAUGAUGUAAAGAGAGAGAGCAUCUAUUAUUUACAUUCAUUCAGCCUUUAUAAUACGAUUGGAUUAUUACAUUGACUUCCAUAUAACAUAAUAAAGCUUAAAAUUUUCACAAAUAUUAAACAUUAGUUUAAUUGAUCCAGAAUAUCUGCACAUCCUUAAAUUACUACUCUCAAGCAUAAAGCGUGACUCUAAUGAGAAAUAGGAAGUGACUAAUCAAUAGGCUAGCCCUAAGCUACGCGAUCCUCGCCGUGUGAACUCAGCGCUCUGCCUGUAGCUAAAAUGGUGGUGAGAACUAACUUCCUUAGUUCCAGUGGGUUUUCGAGUCGCCGACUCCGCGAUCUCGUCCACUAGGCUCCAAGUCGCGGCCACAGUGAUAAUCGAGAGUAGUUAGAUAAGGAAAAGCGGUUUUUAAAUGACUUGGAGUUUAAAGCUAGCUGCUCACUAUGCCCAAUCAUAAAUAAUAUGAAUCAUGUUACAAUGAAAUAGGUAGCACUAACCUGUUAUCAUGUCAAAGGUGAAGCUAUUUCACUCAUCAUUAACCUCAUUUACUUGUUUUGAAGUCUCAUGGCUUACCCGUAGGCGUCCCCUACGCUCGUAAGCCACUCUCGACACGUAUGGGAGAAUUCAGUUCACACUCGACCGGCACGGUUACUCUGGCGGGGCCAAAUUAGGCAAUACCUGCGCGCGUCGAAACAUCCGGAGCGCACUACUUGUGUGGGGCUUCAAUCACAGAUCUAACAGACGUGAAGCAUGAUCCCCAUCCACAUCUACAGAUACCCUAUCCUCUAGCGGUACAAUCAUCUAUAGUCCAUAGUUUCAUUAUACCUAUGACUACAUUGUCACUCGCUUCUUUUGUUUACUAUCACUAGAUGCCACUCGUUCUCUUUACAAGUUUCUAAGUGACAAUAGUCAAUAGAUGCCACUCGUUCUUUUUACAAGUUUCCAAUGCCAUAGCCAAUCAUUACUAAAUUCCCAUCCACACUUAUAUUACAUUAUUAGCGGUCACAUCACAUCUAUAGACUCAAGCAUGCUAGAUAUCAAGUCUAAGCAAACAUGUUUCUACCAAAGCACAUGACAUAAGUAUAGAACCAAACCCUCAUUUAUCACCCUAUACUGAAGAUGUCAAUAUGCAAUUUUGGAUCAUAUAUAACUUAGACAUAAAAGAAAAAGGAGAACCCGAUUGUUCGGGAUGGAGCACCACCACCUUUUAUAGCGUUCGAUUGCUCGGUCAGUCACUCGCAAUCGGCCUCCUGCGGGCGCCACGCCGCCACGGCUCGACCCAACUGACGCAGCGCACUGCAAAUGGGCCCCUCUAUCCGAUCCGUCUGAUUCUGGAGUUUAUUCGCAACGGCACACGAUGCUACGAUUCAUUUCGAUGAUUUUUUGAAGCUUUCGCCGGACUGCGGCAAUCUGUACUUAACGCUUCGAUCUCAAUAUCUCGGUACACUCGUCGGUAUCGCCGAACCGAGCGUACCGUUGCGUUCGAUAGGCCUACAAUUACGAGUUUAUAUACAACCAAUUUAGAUCAAACCAUCUAUUUGCAAAAAAUGAUUUUGAGCCCUAGAUUUGUAUAUGAUAAAAUCCACAUUAAACGGCUUUAGAUGGCUAAUGCAUAAUCCAUCAUUAGCAUCUAGGGAAGCCCGUUACUAAACCAUUUCUAAAGCAUUUUAAAAUUUUUCCCCCCCCACAACCUAGAGAUCUACCAUUGAAGCUGGCAUCGUUUAGCAUAGCUUACCUCUUAAGCUAGCCCAACGAGGGAGAAGACUGAGAGAUGAGCUCACCUUGUUGCUUCCUUAUCACAUCUUCUUCUUCUUCUUCUCGCUCUUUUCUUCUCUUCUCCUCGUUCUUCUUCUUCCUUCUUCACGUUUUAGAUAAGAGGCAGAUGAGGUGGUGUUGAGUUGAGGGAAAAUGAGAGAAAAGAGAGAAAGAAUACCCUCUCUAAGUUACACUUUAUUAGUGCAAAAUUGCCAUAAAAAUCCUCAACAAUGCAUUUCUCGCAACAGCCAAAUAAUGGCAUUUUCCGCGUGCUCGGGGACGCGCCUUGCGUGUGAGAGCCGGUCCUGAGAGACCGGUCCUUGCGAGUGACGGAAGGACGUCCCCGAAGGGUCCAGACUCAGCCUCAAGGACUUAGCCAAAUUUUCAGCUUUUUCCCGUUUUUUCUCCGUUUCGCAUUUUCGCUCGUUUGACCUCCGAAUUCGUUUCAAACUCGAACCAAGACUCUUAACAUGUUUUCAAGCCCAUUUUUCAUUAUCUUUCUCCACGCUAAUGCGUGAUUUAGCUCAUGGCCAACAAAGCCUUUCGGCUCCGUUUAUGCGCCUUGACGCGACCGAAGCGCCGGAAUGCUUCCGGGCCUCACCGAAUUAUCACCGGAACCUUUCAAAUGGUUCCUCCAACCAAAAUAGCCAAACCGUAACUUUACAUGAUUUUAGAAGUCGAUACCUUACAUCCUCCUCCUACUUAAUAAGAGUUUCGUCUCGAACUACUCACCUCAAACCCAAUUUCACACGCCUAAUUCUCUUUAUUGAGUGACAAGGGAUACAGUGCAUUUUUGAUCUCGGAGUGGCCUUUCGCUCAUGUGGAACUAUCCGAAGGCCACUACGCGAGGCGUGAGACUAAAUCUCUGCUCCAUUUGCUGUGUGUAAGUCCAAAAGUGCAUUAGUGGGUCUCCGUCAUUCUGAGCGGGUAGCAGCAAGCGAACUCAAUCGACUCUACGCGCAUCCAACGUCAAUUCACUAAUUGGCCCACUAACGGCCAACCACUUCCUUCGAUGACCGGGAACUACCCGCUAUCUCAUUUGUGUUGAGGCUAUCAAGAAUGCACAAUAGUCAUAUGGUCCAACCACCACGACACAGCACACACGGAAGCCCUCUCGAAUCACCUCAGUGUCAACAAAAGCGGCCCGCUCCGCCACUGUUGGCUAUCCAAGAGUUCGUAUUGUCUCAUUUACGACUUCUUUCGUCACGUUUCACCAUCCCGUACUAGGGCUCACACUCCAAAUUCGAUCACCAAUACUCGCUUAUAAUGCAGUAUUAUCAUCGGUGAUUCGACCCACUUACGAGUUGCUCAAUCGCAUUUGGAUCCUUUGCUCGUAUUGAGAGAUGCUACUUCCGGCACAUCUCGAAUCAUUAAUCCAUAAACGAGCAUUUAAUCCUCAAGCCUCGUCCAACCCUGCCAACAUGACCCAGCCUGCCUGAGGCAAACAUUUCAUGUUGGGACCGGUCUCUCCCUGCUGGGACCGGUCCCAGAAGACUACCCUCAUCUCACGUGUCGGGAACCCGGUCCCUCUUAUGGCCUAGGGACCGGUUGCCUCGCGCUUGCCACAGCCCUCAGCCUCGGGGCAACCGGUCCCUCCCUCCUGGGACCGGUCCCCGAGAGCAAGCUCGCGUAGACAACGUUCGGGAACCGGUCCCUCCCGCCAGGGACCGGUCCCCGAGAGCAAGUUUGCCAAGUGCAAAUUCUUGCACUAUUUGCUCUCGCGGACUCCAUCGUAAUGCAGUUUUGGUGCAUUUGACUUCUUCGGCUUUCACGAAGCACCCCCACUCGACAAUUAGUCGAUUUUGAGUGAAGUCCAACUCUCGCAUUUUGAGAAUCUACUUCCCUUGCACCAACUCCUCCACGGAGUUAUCGGCUAAACCGAUUACGUCGGCUUCCACAGGUAGACCAGCGGUCACCAACACCACGUAGGCCUACUGUCUAAACCCGUCGCACUACGCAUAGCGUCUCUCGCUCGCAUCGUAGACCCAAUCAUCAUUGGGCGAAAUUCUCGUUGGAGAAUUCGCACACACUCCAACUAGGAGCAACCAAGAUCCCCAAACCACGUCAAGUCUUCGGGUUGGGUCACAACCGCACACUCGGUGCAUCAUCGAUUCCACGAUCCAACACGUAGCAUUCCACACUCCAAGGUCUAAGCUCGGACUACCGUCCUGACCAAAAUUCUCCGCCCUACCUAUAGGUAUUGGGCCGCUGCCUCUCGCAGCUGACUGCGCCUGCCAAAUGGGCCCAGGCUCCACAGUCUACGAAGGGUCCAGGCACGGGUCGUCCCCAAGCACUACCCGCUAACGUCGUCCUACACGACACACUCUACAGAGCUACGCACUCUACCGGCUCCUAGGCACCUAGUGCGAGCCACUAGCCCUACGAGUGAUCUAUGGCCCGCUUCACACUUAGCCCUGCUAAAGUGCUACUGCCAAUUCACUCAACCAGCUGAAUCGAAACUGCACUUCAUGCGUAACUACAUUCAAGCGUUCUACGUCUCUACAGCGUCUCGCACGAAGUCUAGCAUCAGGCAACUUAGCCUAUGCACGCCGGCCACACGAGCAACAACUCGUCCACCUCAGUUCGAGGUACUACUAGGCCCACAGGCCAAGUUCGGCGCUAAUCGACCAAAUUUCGCAAUAGUGGUUCAUCACCAUUGUCCGAUCUAUCAAGUCCACAUUCGAAAUACUUUUGGGAUAUCCGGGUGUCCCCAAACAUCAAGGCUCAACUCUCGCAAUAAACUAUUGCAUCGAGAGUUCUCUCACAUUUUCGACUUCCAUUACGAGCCUCGUUUCUUAUCCAAAAUCACCACUAGCCAUUUGCUAGUGCCCAAUGGCUCUCUACCUGCCCCAGCAGGCGCCAUACUCUCAUCCUGCUAGCAUGCUCGGGUACCUACUUACCCGACCACUCGGUCCCUACUAUGUAAUGUAGUAAUAGUAGUAACUGACCAUAUGAUAAAUGCAUGCUAUGCAUCAACUUGAGAUCAUGCAAAAUAUAUGCUUGCUCAAUUAAUUCACACCUGCUACAACGACGUCAACAACAGCAGGCACCGCAACUCGGGUUGCUUAUCCAUGGCCACUUGGCGCUCGUCGCGAACCCUCUGAUUGCAUUGUUCUCAACGGCCACUCUCCUGACCAUGCCGCAGGUGGCACACCUGCAGGCUGUCCCAGAGAGGAAUAGGCCAUCGCUAGCGUCAAGGCCCAGCUAUCACCUUUGCGGACACUUGUCCCGCACAUGGCCCGGCAGCCCACACCUGAAGCACUUGCCCUCACGCUGUUCACACUGCCGUGGGCAAUGAGGGCCCCCACAAAUAAUACAUCUCGCCGAGGACCGAAUGUGGUAAGUCCCCGGAGCUCGGGAUCGCGAGCGCGAACUUAUCGAAGUUCGUUGGGAACUUGACUGACCAUCAUGUCCACUCACUGGCUGUCCUUUCCCCUUUCCUUGUGGUAUGCCUCGUGCUCCUCCCGUAGGGAUUCCUAACCUUGCUCUAUCCACAAGGCCCGAUCCCGGACGUCGGCGAAAGUCUGCAACUUAUGGGCAAGCACAAUCUUGCAAGGGUCUGGCCGAAGUCCACGCACAAGGCAGUCGACCAUGUCCUUGUCAUCCCGCGCUACGUUCGGGACGCAACGCACGACACGGGAGAAUUCCCGCUCGUAUCGCCUCACGGUGCUGUUUACCUGCCACAGCUUCAGAAACCCUUCUGAAGCUUCCUCGCUUACCGUCAGGGAAGUGAACGGAGAAUACCCAUUCCCGAACUUAUCCCAGACCAUAGAAGGGAUACCCGGCAAUCAGUUCCGUCGAAUGCCUUUCCACCACACCUUUGCCGACUGUUUACAAGCAGCAUACGGCUAGCUGCGCCCUUCCUCACUCUACAACGCAUAGAUCCCCAAAGGGAGUCUCGCUCUCGGUUCGUCACCAGCAGCUUGCCGGCACUGACCAAUCACCAAUUUCUUUAGGUAGGCGACAUACCAUCACGACUUAUGCGUGCUGGGUGACUCCUCUGACCUGCGUCCUGGUCUCUACUAUACCAAUAUGUAAAUAAUAGUAAAAGACCACAAGCAAAUGCAUACAAUUGCUCAAACUACUUCAUGCUAGAAUGUAUGAUUGCUUUAAUUAAAUCAUACCUGCAGUAACAUCACCAACAGCAGCAGGUCCCUCGACAUGAGCCGCGUAUCCAGGGCCGCUUGGCGCCUCCUGUGAAUCCUCCGGCUGCUCGACCACCCUCAGCCCUCCAGACUGUGCCACAGGCUGCACAUCCACCGUCUGUCCCGAAGAGGUGAAUGUCGACGCUGUCGGCGGGAGUCGUCAAUCGUCCAAGGGGCAAUCAUACUUUAUGUGACCAGACUGCCCACAACGAAAACACCUUCCUUUUCGCAGCACACAUCGCCGCGCCUGGUGGGAUCCUCCACAAAUCACACACCCCGCAGAUACGGCGGUAGCAGACGGGACUCCACCAAACUGUCGCUGAAUCUCUGGGGCAGAUGCAACUGACGGGGCAGGUGGCACUCCUUCCGCGCACUGACGGGCCAUAUGUCCCGCUCGACCACACUUGAAGCACCGCCCCGCCCGAUCCCUAUAUUUCCCCGCGCGAUGUCCUCCACCGCAGAUCACGCACCGCAUAGGUCCUUGGCUAACGGACCGCCGCUUUUGGUACUUCGGGGCCUUUUUGGAACUAGACUGUUUUCCCCGAACCACCACGAGGCCGUUUCUUCACUCCACUCUCCUUGAACGCCUUGCGUUCCUGUCUCACUUCCCCAGCUGCCGCAUCGAGUAUCGUAGGACCCGAAGCCGACAGAGUAACACUAGCCGGCAGGGGAUGCGCCGCCGCCGGAGCUACCAAAAUGCUCACACCCCCAGGCGCAUCGGGCGCGUGAGCCGAGGGCGCGGGCGGACCAUGGCUUUCAGUUGUCGUCACGGCCGCCGUCGCCACUUGUCGCUCCAAAAGCUCUUGGAGCCGCUCGAUCUGACUUCCUUGGCGUUGAAUCACGCCGAUAAGCGUAGUCAUCUGCGCUCGUAAUUCUCGCACUUCCUCAGAUCCAGACUGCUCGGGCACCUCGGGCGAUGGUGCCAGAGUGGGUCUAAUCACGGGCCGUCUCUUUGGUGCCAUAGCUCCUGAAACGCAACAACUUGGUUAAUCACCUUAACCCGUUAAUCUCGUCGCAACUACUAGACAACGUGACUCGAAUCAGGCGAAAGUCAUACAAGGGUGCCUAUUCUCAUCACUAGGUUUCAUAUUGUCGCGCGCCAACAUGAACACACUUGGGUGAGAAUACACCAUACCUUGAGUCUACCUCUAAUAUCCGUCUUAGAGGUUUACAAAACUUGACCCAAUCAAUUCAACUUUCGCCACAACGCAUAGGUUCACGUCACUCACGCACCUAUAACCUUAGGGUUCACCGUCCUAGGGUCUCCUAGGUCAGUCCUAGACUUCUCUCUUUACUUGCUCUUACUUGCUCUUAAUUGCUCUGAUACCACUUUAUCUGUCACGCCCCGCGACCGCUACCAAUUUGGUUCGGCCCGGGCGCGUCGAACAGACGCCGGACGGACAGCACCUCCCCUGUCCGCCCAAGGCUAACACACAUUAGAAUGGUCAACAGUCCCAGGCGAAAAUAAACUUUUUUUAUCUAUUUUUUACUUGGAAUACAUAACAACAAACUCGAAAAUACAACGAGAGCCAACAAUCCAGCUGCAAACACACCAAAGAGAUUACAGUAUAGAACAUAAAUAAUGAUAAACGAGAGAGCAUCGUAUCUAAUACAUUUCAUUCCCUUAUAUCAUACGAAUUGGGAGGUAUACAUUGAAACUUCCAAAACAUAACUUAUAAGUAACAUCUUACAAAAUAUACAACAUUAGUUACAUUUAAUCGCCCAGAAUAUUCAUCCUAUACAUAUCUCACUCUCAAAGCAUAAACGGUUGACUCUUAAUGCAAGAAAUAGGAAAAGUAGACUAAUGCAACUAAGCGCUAAUCCCUCUACGCGAUCCUCGCCGUGAUGAACUCCGCGCAUCGGCUGUAAGUAAAAUAGGGCUUGAGAACUACUCCUUCAGUUCCAGUGCGGCGUUCGGGCCGCCGGGGACUCCGCCGGAUCUCCCCCACUAGGUCCAGAUCGGGCACAAGUAGAUAACGAUAGAUAACGACUACGAUAAGGAAAGCGGCUAAAUGACACGGAGUCAAAGCUAUCUAACUAUGCCAAUCACUAAAUAUAUGAAUGCAAUGUCACAACUGAAAUGGUAAGCAACUAACCUGUUAAAUUCCACUGUCACAAAGGUAAGCUAAUUCAUUCCUUCAUUCAACCUCACUUCUACAUUGUUCACCUUAUCUCAUGGCUACCGAAGCCAUCGCCUACAGCUCACUAGCCAUACAUCGACACCACGUUAGGGAGAAUUCACCUCACAUACGGACCACAAGAGACCCCCUCUGGCGGGGCCAAAUAGGAAUCCUGGCGUGACCAACAUCCGGAGCGCCACUACUUGUGUGGGGCUUCCAUCACAAGCUCUUAAACGACCGUUGAGCAUGAUUCCACAUCCACAUCUCGAGGAAUACCAUAUCUUAGGGUACAAUCAUUAUAUAGUCAUAGGUUUGAUAUACACUAUGACUCACAUAUGCACUCGUUCUUUUGUUACUAUCAACCUAGAUGCAACUCGUUCUUUUACAAGUUUCCAAUGCAAUAGUCAACUAGAUGCACUCAGUUCUUUACAAGUUUCCAUAUGCAAAUAGCGCAAUCAUUACUAAAUUCCCUCCACACUUUCAUUCUAUUAAGGGUUCCACAUCACAUUAUAGACCUCAAAGCAGGCUAGUAUAAGACUAAGCCAAAUACAUAUUCUACCAAAGAACAUGCAAGGAUAGAAGCCAAACCCUCAUUUAUCACCUAUAUGCAAGAUGGUCAAUAUGCAUUUGAUCAAUAUUAACGUAGACAUAAAAGGGAUGCCCGAUUGCUUCGGAAUGGACCCACCCACUUUUCUUAUUAGCGUUCCGUUGCUCGUCGUCACUUCGAAUCGGCCUCCGGCGGCGCACGCCGCACGGCCGACCCCAACUGACUGCAGCGAGCCAAAUGGCCCUCCUAUCGCCGAUCCGCUGUUCUGGGGGUUUUACUUCCCCGACACACACGAUGCUACGAUUCCAUUUCCGAUGAUUUUUUGAGCUUUCGCGCGUUAGCUGCGGGGCAAUCUGUACCUUUAACGGCUUCGAUCCUCAAUAUCUCGCGUACACUCGUCGGAUCGCCGAACGAGCGGCACGUUGCUUCGUGGACCUACAAUUAGGUUUAUAUACAACCAAUUUAGAAUCAAACCCAUCUAUUGAAAAAUAGCAUUUUGAGCGCCUAGAUUUGCUUACUAUGCAAAAAUCACCAUUAAACCUUGGAUCUAAGAAAUAAUCCAUCUCAUUUAGAUCUAGGAAGGCUUGACCUAAACCAUUUCGUAAAGCAUUUAAAUCACCCUAGGGAUCUACCAUUGAAGGUUAGCAAGCUUACCUGCUUAAGCUAGCACAAACGCGAGAGGAAGAAGAUGAGAAGAAUGAGCUCACCUUGUUUGGCUCGCUCUUCCACCAUCUUCUUCUUCUCUUCCUACCUCUUCUUCUUCUCCUCUCCUCUGUUUCUUCCUCUUAUCCUUUCUUCACGUUUAGAGAGAGAGAGAGGUGGUGUUAGAGUGAGGGAAAUGAGAGAAAGAGAGAAAGAACCCUCUCUAUACACUCUCAUUAGUGCAAAAUUGCAUAAAAACCCCUCAACAAUGCAUUUCUCGCAACAGCCCAAAAUGGGCAUUUUCGCGCUCGGGGACCGGUCCUUGCGGUGAGAGACCGGUCCCUGAGAGACCGGUCCUUGCGGUGAGAGACCGGUCCCCGAAGGUCCAGAACUCAGCCUCAAGGACUUAGCCAAAUUUUCAGCUUUUUCAUCGUUUCUUCUCCGUUUUCGCCCGUUUUCGCUCGUUUGACCUCCAAUUCGUUUCAAAUCGAACCAAGACUCUUCAAACAUGUUUUCGAGCAUGUUUUCAUCAUCUUUUCAUCCACGCUAAUGCCGGAUUUAGCUCAUGGCCCAACAAAGCCUUUCGGCUCCGUUUUAGCGCCUACGCGCACCGAAGCGCCCGAAUGCUUCCGGGCCUCACCGAAUUUCACCCGAACCUUUCAAAUGGUCCUCCAACCAAAUGCACACCGUAACUUCAUGAUUUUAGAAGUCCGAUACCUUACACGCGUUGUCUUGUGAUCGCGAAGAAGUUAAUGGGGUAAGUGCUUAACCAAGUAUUUGCGUUUCAGGAGCUAAUAGCACCGAGGAGAUGCUAUGUUCGUAGGUCCGUUCCGGCACCCCGGUGGCGCCAGAGUCGGCUGGGCCUAGUGAGGUGCAGGAGUUGCGGGCACAGGUUACCGCAUUAACUGGUCGGUUUGAUCGGCUCCAGGAGCUAUUGGAGCAGCAAGCGGCGGCGGCGGCCGCGACAACAACUGAAGGUCAUGAUCCGCCCGCGCCCUCGGUGUAAGGAAGUGAAUUCUCGAAAUACGAGAGUUGGACUUCGUUUAGAAUUGACUAAGGGUCGUGUUGGUGAGCUUCGGAAAGGCCGAAGAUGUCUAAAUCACCAAAAGUGCAUUGGAAGCGAGUCCACGAGAGCAAACAGCGCAAAUCUGCACUCUGGCAGAUCUGCUCUCGGGGACCGGUCCCUGGUCGGAAGGACCGGUCCCCGAACGUGGUCUGACAGGGUCUGCUCUCGGGGACCGGUCCCUGGUAGGGAGAGACCGGUCCCCCGCAGCGAGGGUUGCGGCCGAGGGUUGAGGCAACCGGUCCCUGGCCAGUGGGACCGGUUCCCGAACGCGCACCCCAGCCUAAGGGCUCUCGGGGACCGGUCCCAGGUCGGAGAGACCGGUCCCUCCGCGCACAGACUGCCCAGUGAGGGCUGUGCAGAGGAUUAAAAGUUGAGGGGGCCAGCUGGAUAUUGUUACAUUAGAGGGCUUAUGGGCCCCUCUCUCCCUCUCAUUCUCUCAUUCCCCUCUCACCCACACACACUCUCUUCUCCCUCUCUCUCUCUAGAAAGGAAAGAAGAAGGAGAAUGAAGGAGAAGAAAGAGGAAAAAAGGAAAAGAAGAAGGAGAUCAAGCUAGGAAGGCUUUUGGACCUCUCCCUCUUCCUCUCCUCUCUUUGAAGCUAACAUAGAAGUAAGCUUCCAACCCUAGCUUAUGAAACUUAGGGUUUUCGGGUUUUAGCUCUUGAGAUGGGGUCAAACGGACCUCUAGCAUCAUGAAUUGUAAGAAAGUGAAUUCUCGAAAUCCGAGGAUUAGACUUCGUCUAGAAUCGACUAAUUGUCAAGGGUGUAAGCUUCGAAAAGUCCGAAGAUGAUUAAAAUGCAGAAAGUGCAUUUUGGAAGAGUCCGCGAGAGCAGCAGUGCAAAAUCUGCACUGGAACAGAAUUGCUCUCGGGGACCGAUCCCUGGCGGGGAUCCUUGAUGCAACCGGUCCCAUCAGAGAGGGACCGGUCCCAUCAGGCUGGGCUGGCGGGGAUCCUUGAUGCAAUCGGUCUCUGGCAGGUAAGGACCGGUCCCCGAACGUUAACCCAGCGAGAAAAGCCGAAAUUUGGCUAAGUCCCGAAAAUCCAACUCUCGGGAACCAGUCUCUCGGACAAGGACCGGUCUCCCAGGGACUGGUCUCUCAGGCAGAGACCGAUUCCCAAACGCGAAAUUCCCUCUGCCUGAAUGGGAGGCUCUCGGGGACCGGUCUCCCCGAGCUGGGACCGGUCCCUCACUACGAAAAUGCCCAGUGAGGGCUGCUGCAGAGGGUGGAAAGUUGAAGGGGCUAUUUGCAAAAUAGCCUAUAUAAGAGAUGAGGGACCCCUCUCUCCCUCUAAUUUGCUCUCUCCCUUUCACACUCUUUCCCUCUCUUUCUAGGAAAGAAAAGAAGGAGAAGAAGAAGAAGUGGAAGAAGAGGAAGGAAAAGAAGAAAAAGAGGAAGGAGAAGACUAAGAAGAAGAAGAAGAUCAUCUUCUUCUCUCCCUCCCUCAAGCUUGGAGCUUUGUUUAGAGGUAAGCUCUAAACCCUUUAGUGGUAUUUCUAGGGUUUGGGGUUUUUGUUGUUUAGAGAUGGUUCGAAUGGAACCUAUUGAGGCUAAGGCGAUGGCUCGAGCUCGAAAUCGAAGCUCGCACCAUGGAUUUCGCCACCGUUGCCAACCUAGGGCACGGAUUUGGGAUUUUUGGAAAUCUAGGGUUUUGAUCUAUUUUAAUAGGUCGCAAACCUAAUUGCUUGGUCUCUGAACGCGUAGGCGAAGACGGUUCGUCGAUCCGACGAUCGAGUGCGAAGAUAUCGCCGAAACUGAUACUUGAGGGUUUACUUUGCCCCGGGGUGUGAAGCGACGUACGAGGACCACGACGUCGAGUUGUCUAGCUGCGCGGCACAACCAAAAGGUGGGGGAGUGCCAUCCCGAAGCAGUCGAGCUGCUUUCUAUGUUUGAGUUAUUAUGUUGAUCAAUUGCAUAUUGUACAUGUGGCAUAUAGGGAAUUAAGCUAUUUAUAUCUAUAUUUGCAUGCUAGUGUUAAUGUGGCUUAGUUGAUAUAACACAAGAACCUAGUAUGCAUGAGCUGAAUAUAAGAUGGUUAACCCUAUAUGUGUUGGAUGUACAUGUAGCUAUGAAAACCUAGAACAGUGUGGACUAGAGUAUCGAGAACUUGUCAGAGAACGAGUGGCAUCUAGUUAACAAUGAAUACAAAUGAGUGGCAUCUAGUUGAUAUUGAACAUGAGAACCCUAGUGUAGUCAAAACACUAUGAGCUUGAGUAUUGGAAUGCUUGAUUCUAUGAUGAGACCAACUUUAGUUGGUAGGACCAGUUCGUGAGUUCAGAUUAUACUCACAUAGCCUGUCUGCGCUUGUUGGGGUCGCUCCCCACAGGCUGUGCACUCCGAAGUAUUUGUUACUCGAGGGGCAGUCGCUAUGCGCUGCCUGGACAGUCAGUGUAUCUAUCCGCAGGCGGUCUCGGGGAAUAGUUCAGCGAGGCUUUUCCCUAUGAGACUUAUAAACGUGAGAUUGUGUUGCCGGAUUGAUCGACUGAUAGGGUAAAGUAAUGAACAACCCUUAUUGUUGAGCAUAGUAGUGUGGUAGCUAUGAAUUCAGUAUGAAUGACAUGCAUGCAUGAUUCCAGAUUGAGGCAUGGUUAGAUGCUCAUACCUAUACUUGCUUGUUCAUCGUUAAUGCUUUCAAUUUCAUAUAUCUAUCUAUCUGCAUAUCUAUCUGUGCCUGCUUAGACCUAGUGGGAAGAUCGGCGGAGUCGGCAGCCGAACCUACUGGGAACUAUUCGUAGUUCUCAUCCUACUUUAUUGCAGGUCCGAGCUCGAGUGUCCCCGGCGAGCGCGAGGACCGUGGCAAGGGCAUAGCGCCCUAGUGAUAGAUGUACAUAGCUGGUUUUACUCCCUUUUGCAUUAGCUUUACCCUGUACUUAUGUUUGAGAGUAGAUGUUGUAUAGGGCGAGGUUUGAGAGUGAUUGUGCAUAUGUUUUGGAAGAUUGUAAAAGAUGAAAUAAUUGCAUAAAGUUAAACGAGUUUUAAUAGUUGAGUACAUCUCUCUUUUAUCACUUGUAUGUUUUACUUGUGUUGCUUGCUCUUCGGUGAUAAGCACUAUUUGUGUUUCGUCGUCAUUGUUGGAUCAUGUACGUAAUCAAGUGUGUUUCCUGGGAACUUGUAUACAUGAUCUCGUUGUUGAGCUUUGGGCGGACAGGGGGGUUGCUGUCCGUUCGGCGGUCCGUUCGCCGCGCCCGAACCGAACCAAAUCGGUAGCGGUCUCGGGGCGGGAGCGUGACAUGAAUGGUGGGAUUAGAGCUAGAAUCUAGGGUUUUUGAAGUGGGUUUGCAUAGUGCUAACAAUAGGGCACCCAAAUUAUGGUUUUUUGGAAAAGUAGAGGAUUGAUCUCAGUUGACCCUCCUCUAACCUAAUUGCUAGGUGUCUAAACGCAAGAGCGAAAUCGGAUUUUCGAUUCGUCGAGCGGGCGAAAAGAUAUUGGCAAAACGAGGCCAACCAAGCUUCAUUUCGACCUAAGAGGUCGAGACGUCGUCGUAACGUUCGUUGGAGGGCAUUUCUAGAGCCUCCAUAUCCUUAAGAGGUGGGGGGUGUCCAUCCCGAAGCAUUCGGGUUUCCUUUUAUGUCUAAGUUACUUAUGUUGAUCAUAUUACAUUAUAGGAUUAAUAGAUGUAUAUUUCCUUUUCCUUGCAUGAUUCUUAAUAGUAUAACUUAUGAGUCGAACACAUGGACUAGGGUAGCAUGAGGAUUGGGUCUUGUGACAUGAAAAUCCUAUAAUGGCAUAAAAAGCCGAACUUGGACAUAGCCUAAUAGAGUGGCAUUGAACUAGUGUAGUAGAAAUACAAAACAUGAACGAGUGGCAUGUCAACUAGCUAGAAAACUUACUACAAUGAUCGAACGAGUGACAUCGGGUCUAGAGUAGUAAAUAUGACAUGGUUCUAGGGAUGGUAGAGAUCCCGGCAUCCAGGAUGCAUUGUAUAUGGUGCAGCAGAGGCACUUUGACCCUUGUAAAUAGGGUAUCCUCUUGUGAGGAUUGGAUCAUACUCACUAGUCUGUUUUCGCUAUCGGUGGUCGCUCCACCGUGGCACGAGUCUCCAGAGUACUUCACUAGGGGCAGACGUAGUUGUCCCGCAGACGGUCUCGGUGUGCGAGUGCAGCUUCCCUCACCUAUCAGAUAGAGAGUUAGUCGAGGGUUUAACCUACGGGUUAGCCAAGUAGAUUAGGUAAUAAACAUGAAUGGCAUAGUAGAAUCGCAUUAUUACCUCGAGUAGACAUAGUGUAUGUUGUAGAUUGCAUUGCUAUAUACUUUUAUAUACUCAUGACAUGAUACUAGCAUGAUAGUAGGUUCAUUGCAAAUGAAUAUUGCAUGCAUUGCUCAUUAUUGAAGGCAUGGUAGAAAAGUUGCAGUUUACUUUUCUAUCUGCAUAUCUAUCUAUCUAUCUGCUUAUGCCUGCUUAGACCUAGUGGGAAAACCGGCGGAGUCGGCGGCCGAACCCACUAGGAACUAUAUUUAUAUAGUUCUCACCUCGUGUGGUUUUGGGGGACAGGUACACAAAGGGGCGAGCCGAGCGAGGAUCGCGGCAAAGGCAUAGCGCCCUGAGUGAGUUAGCUAGUAGCUUUCCUUUAUGCAUUAGAGUACCCUCGUGUACUAGAAGAUGUAUAUUUUGGAUAGGCAUUGGAGAGCUAUAAUGUAUUUUAGGAAAAAUAUGUAUUUACAUUUUGAAAGAUGAAAAUGUAAUAUAACCAAAUGAUGUAACUAUUGAAUGGUUGUAAUAGUUAGACUAUCUCUCUUUAUACACUUGUACAUUUACUCGUGGUUCUUGCUCUUAGUUGUAUUGUACUUGUAUGCAUCGUAUUGAUCAUGUAUGUUAUUUAAGCAAUUUCCUGGGCGCUUAAUUGUACUUGAUCUAGUUGUUUAGCCUUGGGCGGACAGGGGAGGUCCUGUCCGUUCGGCGUCCGUCCGCCGCGCUCGGACCGGACCAAAUUGGUAGCGGUCUCGGGGUGGGGAUGCGACACUCGGCUCCCGCGCCAAAUGCGGCUGAGGGUGAGGGUAUAGCGGCGGUUCCAAUAGCGGCACGUCCCCCGCCGGCGAGUGUUCCUCCAGAGGCUUCAGGUUCUAGUUCACUCGAUGCAGCAGCCGAGGAGGCAGAGCGGGAGCGUGGCUACACGGCUCUCACGAGAUUCAUGAAGUUCCACCCUCCCACGUUUGACGGUGAAGUGAUUGAUCCCUGGACGGUAGAGACAUAGUUGGCCGCAAUGGAAACCCUGUUCGAGGACAUCUACACCCAGGAUAAGGACAAAGUACACUUGGCCGUGCAUUGCUUUGAUAAGCGGCCAGAGUGUGGUGGAGGAGGGUGAAGCAAGACCGAUCUUAUGAUCUUCCCCCAAUUGAUUGGGAGGAAUUCCGAGGACUGAUGUUCGCGGAAUAUUUUCCCGAUUGUGAUAAGAGGAAGAUGCGGGAGGAUUUCAGGAAGCUCAAGCAGGGCAACCGCACAGUUCGGGAGUAUGAGCGGGAGUUUACCCAUCUCCUAAACUGUGUCCCCGAUGUAGCAAGGACCGAGCAAGAUCGGGCGGAGUGCUUCGUGCAGGGACUUCGGCCCGGAGUAUUUCGGUUGGUGCAUGCUUUCAAGUUCCGCACCUUUGCGGAAGUGUUGGACCGUGCCUUAUAGGUUGAGCACGGGAACGCUUGCGAGCGAGAGGAACGCGAGGCAUUCGAUAAGGACAAAGGAAAGAAGCGAUCGGGUGGUGGUUCGGGGGGACAAUCGAGUUCCAAGAACCCCCCGAAGCACCCACGGAAGCGGACGUGGAAUCGUAGGGCGCAGCGGUGCAUCUUUGUGGUGGAGACCACCGAGGUGUGUGAGCAGCGCCAAGGAAAGUGCUUUAAGUGCAGGCAGGCAGGGCACUUCGUACGCGACUGUCCAGGAGGAGGGGCCUCACCUGCCCCGUCUAUUGCAUCGGCUUCGGUGAUUCCCGCACGUUAUGGAGCUCCACCUGCUGCGGCAUCUGCGAGGCACGCUAUGGCGCCGCGUCAGCCAGAAGUGACGCGAUCGGCUCCGAGCGGACGGGUAUUCGCCGCUCAAGUUCAAGCCGAGGAACCUGCCGAAGCUAAGGAGCGCAAUGUAGUGGCAGGUAUGGUUUUAAUUAACGGAGUUCGCUCCAGAGCUAUGUUUGAUACAGGUGCCACGCAUUCGUUUAUUAGCCGACCCUUUGCCGAGAUGCAUGGUAUAGAAGUCCAGCUAAGUGAUAGCAUUUGGCGAGUAGAGGGUCCCGGGCGUGCGUUGGUCAUUAGGAAGGAGUGCUUGGCUUGUCCGGUGCAAGUGGGCGACUGGAUAAUGCCGAUCCGUAUGUUGGUGCUCAAGAGGUUGAAGGACUUCGAUAUUAUAUUGGGCAUGGACUGGCUCUCGAAGUAUUAUGUGUCCAUUGACUGCAAGAGCAAAGUGAUCACGUUUCGGGAGCCAGGACAGGAGUUUACGUAUCGAGCUUGCAAGAGCUCGUGCUUCGCCGCAACGGUGUCGGCGACGAGGACUAGGAAGCUGGUCAACAGCGGUUGCGUGGCUUAUUUGGCAACCGUUGUGGAAGUUGAUAGGGUAGCUCCGACUUUUGAGGAGUUGUCGGUGGUGCGGGAGUUUCCGAAUGUAUUUCCCGCGAAGUUACCGGGGAUGCCCUCGGACCGGGAGAUCGAGUUCGUGAUAGACUUGGUUCCCGAGGCGGCGCCGAUUUCAAAGGCUCCGUACCGCAUGGCGCCGGCAAAGAUGAGGGAGUUGAGGGAUCAGUUGCAGGAUCUUCUUGACAAGGAGUUUAUCAUGCCGAGUGUGUCACCGUGGGGAGCCCCGAUGUUGUUUGUGUGCAAAAAGGAUCUUUUCGACUCUGCGUGGACUACCGCGAGUUGAACAAGGUUACUAUCAAGAAUAAGUACCCGUUGCCCCGAAUCGACGACUUGUUUGAUCAGCUACAGGGGUUGCGAGUGUACUCGAAGAUAGAUCUCCAAUCCGGCUACCACCAGUUGAAGAUAAAGCCGGAUGAUGUGCAGAAGACCGCGUUUCGCACGCGGUAUGGACAUUAUGAAUUCACGGUUAUGCCGUUCGGGCUCACCAAUGCCCCGGCAGCGUUCAUGGAUUUAAUGAACCGUGUCUUCAGGGCGUACUUGGACCGAUUUGUCGUGGUCUUCAUUGACGACAUCUUGGUCUAUUCGCGCAGUGACGAGGAGCAUGCGGAGCAUUUGCGGAUAGUGCUUCAAAUCCUUCGGGAGUAGAAACUAUAUGCAAAGUUGAAGAAGUGUGACUUCUAGCUCCGAGAGGUUGCUUUUCUUGGGCAUGUGAUUUCCGAGGGCGGUGUUUCUGUUGACCGGAGGAAAGUUGAGGCGAUCAAGGAUUGGCCGCGCCCAACGAAUGUUACGGAAGUCCGAAGCUUUGUGGGCUUAGCGAGCUACUAUCGACGGUUUGUGGAAGGAUUCUCGAAGUUGGUGAUUCCACUUACUCGUCUGACACAGAAGGGCACCAAAUUUGUUUGAAGUGACGAGUGCGACCGGAGUUUUAAAGAGUUGAAGGAAAGAUUGACUUCAACUCCGAUGCUCGCCUUACCGAUGCAAGGUGAAGACUAUGUGGCCUAUAGUGAUGCGUCCUAUCUGGGUCUGGGGUGUGUCCUGAUGCAAGGCGGGAAGGUGAUCGCUUAUGCGUCCCGUCAGUUGAAGAGCUAUGAAAAGAACUACCCCAUCCACGACUUAGAAUUGGCGGCAGUGAUCUUUGCUUUGAAGCUAUUGAGGCACUAUCUGUAUGGUGCACAUUGCGAGAUCUACACCGACCAUAAAAGUUUGAAGUACUUAUUUACCCAGAAGGAGCUGAAUAUGCGACAAUGGCGGUGGUUAGAAUUAUUAAAGGAUUAUGAUGUUGACAUCCUUUACCACCCUGGCAAGGCGAAUGUAAUCGCGGAUGCACUUAGUAGAAAGUCGGCGGAGAACCUCGCGUUAUGGGUUACAAAUCAAGUGCCCCUGUGGAAGGAAAUGGGGCGAAUGGAUCUCGAGGUUGUAGCUUCGAAAGUUCCAACUAGAUUGUCAAUGCUCGUUGUCCAACUGACCUUAUUAGAGAGGAUCAAGAGUUUGCAAUCUGCGGACCCGAGUCUCCAAAAGGUGCGGCGCAACGUCGAGGAGGGACGUGGCGGAGAUUUCAAUAUGGACGCCGGUGGUGCACUUCGGUUUCGAAACCGGUGGUAUGUGCCCGAGAAUGAGGAGCUUCGCAAGCUAAUUCUGCAAGAAGCACAUUGGUCUCCUUAUAGUGACCACCCGGGCGGCACCAAGAUGUAUCACGAUCUGAGGAUGCUCUAUUGGUGGCCGGGAAUAAAGGCUGAUAUUGGGCGCUUCGUGGCGAAAUGUUUGGUACGCCAACAAGUGAAGGCGGAGCGCCGAUUUCCAGCGGGAAAGCUUCAGAGUUUACCUAUCCCCGAUUGGAAAUGGGAGGAUAUAUCGAUGGAUUUCGUGGUCGGCUUGCCUCGCUCGACCGGUGGCCACGAUGCGAUUUGGGUGAUUGUGGAUCGACUGACGAAGUCGGCACAUUUUCUGCCGAUCCACACCACUUGGGCUGGUGACAGGUUGGCGCAGGUAUACCUUGAUAAGAUAGUGAGGUUGCACGGGGUGCCAAAAUCAAUUGUAUCAGAUCAAGACCCCCAGUUCACUUCACACUUUUGGAAGAGCCUGCAGGAAGCUUUGGGCACACGGCUCGAUUUCAGCACUGCAUUUCAUCCUCAAACAGAUAGGCACACGGAGAGGACCAUUGAGACUCUGGAGGAUAUGUUGCGGGCGUGUCAUUGAUUACAAAGGGAGUUAGUGUAAGCACCUACCGAUGGCCGAGUUCGCCUACAACAACAGUUAUCAUGCUAGCGUGGGGAUGGCACCGUUCGAAGCUCUUUACGAGCGGAAGUGCUGAUCUCCCAUACACUGGAGUGAUGUGGGCGAACGUGCGGAAUUCGGCCCCGAUGUUUUGCGAGAGGCGGAAGAGAAGGUCCGCCUUGCUCACUAUAGAUUGCUCACGGUGCAGUCUCGACAUAAAAGCUAUUCGGAUAAGCGCCGGCGAGAUUUAGAAUUUGCGGUGGGCGACCGUGUCUUUUUGAAGGCGUCGCCCAUGAGGGGUGUGAAGCGGUUUGGGGUGCGGGGGAAGUUAAAGUCCCCGAUAUAUAUAUUGGGCCAUAUGAGGUUUUGGAGCGUGUUGGAGCGGUAAAGUAUCGGCUUGCCUUGCCGCCGAAGCUCGUGGAUGUUCACAACGUUUUCCACGUCUCCAAUCUUCGCAAGUACAUUCACGACCCCGAGCAUGCUUUGUUGUACGAGCCGCCGAAACUUCAAGAAGAUAUGAGCUAUGAAGAGUUUCCGGUGAUGAUUAUCGCUCGAGAGGUGCGCAAGUUGAGAAAUCGCGAGAUUCCCUAUGUUAAGAUUCGGUGGAGCAAUCACGAUAAUCGCGAAGCCACGUGGGAACUCGAGGAAACGAUGAGAAUGCAUCAUCCUCACCUUUUCGAGGAGUGAGUUAAGGUAUGAGUUUAAGUUUAGGUUUAAGUUUGAAAUUGAGUUCGUUUCGAGGAUGAAACUCUUUUUAAGGAGAGGGGGAUGUAAGGAAAUGAAACCGCAAAACGUAAAUCCGAACUUCGAUCAAAAUCGAUCGAAGAUGAGUUCGGAACGCUUCGGAAAGGCCGAAUACGUCAAAAACGCAUUUCGUGCAUUGAGAGAGGACCUUGGAGAGUUGGAAUUGCAAAUCUGCAAUUUUCAAGUUUUUACUACUCUCGGGGUCUGAACCCUAGCUACAGGGUCCGGACCCCGUAGCUGCGAAAAGCCCAGUUCGGGCUGUCACAUGUUUGGAGAGUUGAGGGGGUUAUUUGCACUUGUGACAUUGUGGGAGUGUACAGAAGUGAGUGGAAGCUUUCUCUUCUCUCCCUAACACUUUUAACCCUAAAUAGCUCUCUCUUUCUCUCUCUAAGCUCUCUCCUUCUCUCUCUCCUCAAGGUGGAAUUAGAGGAAGGAUUGGUCGGGAAGAAGGCUAAAGAGUGGAACAUCAUCAUCUUCUUCUUCUUCUUCAAGCUUGGAGGAAGCUUUUGAGGUAAGCUUUAACCUCUUUAAUGGUGAUUCGCUAGGGUUUAUCUUUUAUACUCUAGAAUUGGCUUAGAUGGAACUCUAGCAUGCUUAAUGGAGGAUUAAUGCAUGAAUCUAGAACUAGAUCAAUGGAUUCUUCCAUUGGUUGCAACCUAGGGCUCCAAAUGGGGUUCUUGGGAAAUAAUGGGUUUUGAUCUAAAUUGAUUAUAUAUAAACCUAAUUGCUAGGUGUGUGAACGCGUUGGUGACGACGGUUCGGCGAUUCGUCGGGCCGGUGCGGAGAUAUCGCCAAGCGGAGGGCGUUUCGGCUUCGUUUCCGCCCGAGAGGUCGAGGCGGCGACUUAAGAUCACGUAAUCAAAUCCCCAACCUCGCUACGUCGCUUAGAGGUGGGUGGCGUCAUCCCGAAGCAGUUGAACUGCUCCCUAUGUCUAAGUUUCGUUAUCGACUAUGUUUACAUAUUGAGAUCUUGCAUUAUAGGGUGUUAGAUGAUGGUUUGUUGCAUACUUGCAUGCUCCUUGGUAGAGUAGCACAUUCGGCUUGGCACUUGAACCUAGGAUGCAUGAGGUUUACAUAAUGUGACUUGGAACCCUAUAAUGAGAUGAUAAGGGUAUGUUUGUUUCAACGUAAGUAGACUUGGGGUGGAAGUGGACUUUGGGUUGAAGUGGAGUUGGGGUGAAAAUUAGUUCACUUCUGCUGUUUGUUUCUAACUGUGGUAGUGCAGUUCUGCGAGUUCUGUUGUUUGUUUGGUAGGAAGUAUAUGACGUAAAAAGUGUAGCUCUUCACCCCCGGUAUACUUACCUCAACAAAUAAAAUUCUAAAGUUAAAAAAUUAUUAACAUUUAACAAAUUCAUUUUUCAUCAUUUUCUAAAUAUACAUAUUAAACAAAAAAAUAUAUUAAAUCUUACCUAACCAAAUUUGAUCAUAUUUUAGACAUACAAUCAAAAUAAAAAAUUUAAUUACUUCCAAAAUUGAAUAUAUUUGGAUGAAAGGGUAGAGAAGAGGUAACCCUAACACAUUAAUCCCACUCUUGCCUUUUUUCACUUCACCGGAAUUGACUUCGCCCCGUGGGAGGGCGAAGUCAAUUUCACUAUUUCGGGUGAACUGAACUUUCGGGCGUAAUAAAAUUACAGUGAACCAAACAACGGAAGUGGGCAGUUUUCACCGAAAUUAGUUCCCCCUUCCUACUUCCACCCCACUUUCGUGCAAACAAACAGGCCCUAAAUGGUGAAUGUGCCCUAUGUGGGUGAAAACCUAGUGAUGUAUAAACUAGUGUAUUGGGAACACUUAAACAAGAACGAGUGGCAUCUAGUUAAUGUUAAACAUAUGAUGUGUGGCAUAAGAACUUAGUGUAGUUGAAACACUUUGAUGAUGAGUAUAAGAGUACUCGGAUUUCCAUGAUGAUGAUAACCCUAGUUUGUAGGGUAUCCUCAGUUGACGAGGAUUGGAUCGUGCUCGCGUAGCCUGUUAUAUGCUUGUCGUGGUCGCUCCACACAAGCCGUGCACUCCGGAGGUUUAGUCACACGAUAGGGCAGUUGCUAGCUGUCCGCAGGCGGUCUCGGGUGAGUCGAGCGGCUUGGGACUCCUCACCUAUGGGAUUGAGACGUGAGUUGAGGGCGAGCCCUUGGGCUAGCCGAGUGAUUGGGUGAUCUAAUGAAUAGCAUUGUCGUUGAACAUAGUAGUAUGAUAGCUAGUCUUUCACUAUGUAAUGCAUGCAUUCAUUAUAGCGGAUUGAGGCAUGGUAGAUUACUUGCAUACCUUUUUACUAUGCUAUUGUUGCUUCUAUACCUGCCUAUCUAUCUAUCUAUCUGCCUAUGCCUGCUUAGACCUAGUGAGGAGAUCGGCGGAGUCGGCGGCCGAACUCACUGGGAACUAUGGACAAUAGUUCUCACCCCACUUUGUUGCAGGGCCGAGUUCGAGCACCCCAGGUGAGGAUCGUGGUAAGGGCAUAGCACCCUAGUGGUUGUAGAGACCUCUUUUUGCAUUAGAGCUACCUAUGUACAUGAGUGUAGAUGAUAUGUAGGUGGUGAGGUAUUUUGGAGAAUUGUAAACCUUUACGUUUAUAUUUUGGAAGAAUGAAAAGUAAUCAAAUGUAUUAACUGUUGACUGUGAUGUAAUAGUUAGAAAUCUCUCUUUUGUUCACUUGUUCAUCCUUGUGACACUUACUCUUAUUUGUUUAGCACUGGUUGUGCUCUCGCUGUUGUUGUUGUUGAUUGUGUAUAUAUUUCAAGUUGUUUUUCCUGGGCACUUGUUGUACGCAAUCUUGAUGCUUAGCCUUGGGCGGAUAGGGGAGGUGCUGUUCGACGCGCCAGAAUCGGACCAAUGUGGUAGGGUCUCGGGGCGUGACACCGUACCCACUGGGAACUAUAUUUAUAUAGUUCUCACCCCGGUGUGGUUUUGGGGGUUACAGGUUCGCACGUGAGCGGCGCGCGAGGAGAGGGCGUAGCUCCGUAGAUAGCGCCCUAUCACCGAGACCAGAGAUAGCGGUACCCCGAGUCAGCCAAGCUAGGGGUUGUAGAACAGAAAAAGGAUCAAACUUGUAAUAAUCUUGUGAUUAUUGAUUGUAUUCGGAAGCUGAAUGUAUUUGAAAGGAAAGGAAAGGAAAUGUAAAGAUUGCAAGUGAGAUGAAUGCUUGUAAUAGCUUAGUUGUUUUAUAUUUUGAUACUUCUUUAUGCAAUCUGUAUGUUAAAUUCUGUUCCUGGUAGGAACAUCUUGAAUUGUAUUGAUUGCGACGCCUAGGACAUACAGGGGAGACUCUAUCCGUUCGACGGUCUGUUGACACGCCCGAACCCAACUAAAUAGGCGGGGCUCCGGGCGUAACAGUGUGCCUCUAAUGAGAAGCCCCUUAUUUCGAUUGUCAUAGACAAAAACAAAAGUUCGUUAACUGAUAUGCUAUUUUGAAGUGCAUUUAGGUAUCACAACUAGAAGUGCAGAACUAUAAUCAUGCUGGUUGCAAUGGCUCCUGCAAGGCUGCAAUGCAUUUUAUAUUGGUUCAACAAGAAUGAAUCACGCCAAGUUGCAUUGAAAAAGAAAUACAUUCCCAACUUGUUCCUCUCAAACUAAGAUUAUGUUGCCUACAUAAUUUCCUUUCUCCAGACAAGUAGAAUGCAAAGGCUAAUAUUUUCCAUCAAACAAGAAAUCUACAGGAAAUCCUAGAGGAAUAAGACCUCCCAUACAAUGAGUACCACAUUGCAAACCGCAGAAAGAUACAGAUUAUGUGCUUUCCUCUAUUCAUUUAAGAAUACUGUUCUCAUUUGCGAGUGCUUUAUAAUUAGUCUAAUAUUAGAGAGUUGGCACAAUGGUUCGUGGUUGGUUAAGCUUUUGUUUUAAAAUUUACCCAUAGAUCGAGUACCCACCUGUAUGCUCAAGAAGGUAUGACCAAAUUACUGCAAAAAUUGCCAUCAAGUGAUGGUUGUUCCCAGCUUUAAAUUAAGGCCACACAAAUGCAAAAGCAAUAAACUCUCAAAUGAUGAAAAUGGCAGAGUUUAAUCUAAAAUACAACUUCAAGGUAAGUAAACACAUACCUUAACCUUGUCGCCUAUUAGAAGCAGGAAAUGGUAUUCAGACACCGCAAAGGACCUGGGUUUAAUACCUUCAUCCAGUUCACCCAACUUUGAGUAGUCUAAUAGGCCCUUGUUUUCCACAAAAUUUUCAUCACCAGUCACCGAACUGCUCAAAUAUAUUGAAAUAUCAGAAAGACAAAUAAAAACAUUGAACAUCAAAAAUAACUGACAAAUCAAACUAUUAAAAGGAAGAAAUCAUUGCAGAAAAUAAAAUGAAUGGAUCAUUUGCAAUGCUGAUGUACUAAGAGGUAAUCAAUAAACAAGUUAUAUUUCCUCAUAUACAUGAGAAACAAAAGAUCCUACAAAGAUGAUUUACCUAUGCUGGGCACCAAAGUUUAAGUCACCAUGGUAAAUUCCAGCUCCGGAAAGCCAACCAAAAUGUUUCGCUCUUCUUUGUUUAAUAAAAAAGUGUAAUUCACUGCAUACAAUAAAAGAGACCAAUUCAUUUCUGAAUAAUGAUUACAAUAUUCAAUUACAGCCAUUAAUGCUAUGUAGAUAGCAGAAAAUAAAAAUAGAAAGACAAUACUAAAAUAGCAUAAAUAUGUAAAAACACAUAAAUAGUUAACCAGAUAGCAAAUGUAGCUACUACUUUAAAUUGUGAAACAGGAAAUCGGAUUUUAUGAUGCUACGUCAGGGAUUAAAAUGUCGUGGCAUGGAGGCGUGCUCGACAAAGUACAGCAUAGGCAGAUUUCCAUGCCAACAAGUAUCGUACUUGUAUGCUGAUAGGCACGCAUAGCCUCCUAAUGGCACGCUUUGACACGACUUUAUUUUAUUUUUUUUGCUCAAUAAGAUCUUAUAAUGUUAUUUUGAAAGUUUUAAAGUAAUAAUUAUUAAUUUUGGCUAUGCAUUGAUUUGUCUCAACCUAUCAGCAACAAUAGCUUACUACACUUGCUAAUUAAUAUAGUAGUAGACUUCUUAAUAUGGUGAUGCAUGGUACUGAUUAUUUUUAAAAAAAAUUGCAAGAUUUAAUACAUAAAAGUUUAACAAUAAAUUAUAUGAUGAAUAAAUUAAACAAAUUUACGACAAAAAUUGAUUUACUUUGAAAAUUAUUUCGAUUUUAUCGAUAAAUUUUCAAUAUUUUAUAAAUUAUAAAAAUAGAAAGUUAACAAAAUCAUUUAAAAAAUUAUGAAAAUUUGGAAAAUUCAUUCAUAUUGAGUGAAGAAAAGGGUAUGCAAAGAAAAGGAAAGAGAAAGAAGAGAUGAAAAGAAAAGGAACGAGAUGGAAUCUGCGAGGGAGAGAUAAUAAAAUAGUGUUGUACAUGUGCCCCCAAGAAGAUCCUACAAUGUUGUUGUUAGAAGUUGCUACAUUAAUACAUUUUUAUUUUUAUUUCUUUCAGGGUGUUAUGUGUAAAACUUCCAUUAUAUAUAAAAAUAAGUAUUGGUGGGACUAGGGUAAAGAGAGAUCCCUAAUCCCUUUUCUAAUCUUCUUCUUCCUCCAAGUUCAUCAUGGUAUCAGAGCCACCAUUUUCAUAACCCUAAUUAAAUUGGAAUAAAAGGGGGAACCUAUCGUAUUCUCCCCGGGCAAUUAGAAUCCCACACGUACGCUUGGCGAGCAUCAUCCCGCUGUUCUUCUUUCGCUACGAAGGCCACCACCAUCAAGGUGCCACCAGCCAACAUGUCUAUCAUCUGUCAUGUCACCAUCGACGCCCUCCUCUAAGCUCGCUCCACCACUGCAAGUGAUCAUUGGCUAUCUUAGGUCAUUAACAAAGAUCUUAAGACAAUGAUUCUUGAUGCUGCCCCUGUUUGUUGGCGUUGUCAACAUAGCUACUGUUGUUGGCGUUGUCAACAUAACUACUGAAUGUAACACACUGAACUUUAGCAAAUUGCGAAGUUCGAGUGUUUGAUCUGUGUUCCAAGCUUUUCCAGGUUUUCUGGAGGGUCAUUGACUGUGUUCCGACCUAUGAAUCGUAUCCCGAGAAGCGAGAGUGAAAACUUAGCACCAAAACCUCUAAAUUGCAGAUUUUGGGCUGCUCUCGAGUUGGACUCUGCAGAGCAGAGUACCGAUACAGCAUCGGUCGAGUACCGGUACUGGAUCCAGUACCGGUACAGCAUCGCGGUGGCACCGGUACCCAGCACGUUUGCUCACUGACCCGAGGCUCGGGUUUGCGCGUGCUGCUGCCUGGUACCGGUACUCCAGCCCGUGUCACCGGUACGCAGUGCAGUUCACAGACUACAGAUUUUUUAGGGUUCUCUUUGUAAUUGUUGCAACAUUAUAAAUACCCCACACCGAGGUUUAAAGUGCCGUGGCACGGAGGCGCGCCGGCACGGCCCUGGCACGGUACGGCACGGGCACGCUUGCAUGCCGACACGGGCACGCUUGCGUGCCGACAGAUACGCACGACCUCCUACUGGCACGCUUUGGCACGGAAUUUUUUCAGUUUUUUUUAUUCCAAUAAACUCUUAUAAUGUUAUUUUGAAAGAUUUAAAUAAAUAAUUAUUCAUAUUUGCUAUAUAUACCUUAUUAUACUCAUUAAUUAACAUGCAUGUAAGCUUUUUGUAAGAAAAAUACAAUUAUACCUGAUGUAGAAUAAAAAUUAAAAUACAAUAAUAAAAUUCGUAAGUAUAAUAAUUAUUUAAAUUUAUCUUUACAUAGAGAUGACUGCUUAAUUCCACAUAGAUUAUCGCGCUUGAUCAUAUGGCAUACUGUCAGUUGCAGAUACAAGAUUUAUAUGACAAUAUUGAUACAACAUUUAUAUGACAAGAUUUAUAUGACAAUGGGGGAGGGGGAAUAUGACCAAAAAAAAAGAAAAUUGAUAGUCAAAAGAGCCAAAAAAAUGCAAAAAGACGGAAAAAAAAAAAGAAAGAAAAAAGUACCCUCUGAGAACAUGACCACAUGGUGGGAAGGGGAAUAUGACAAAAAAAAAAAAAAAAAAAGCAUUGACAGUUAAAAAAAAUCAUCAAAUGCACAAAGAUAUAAAAAAAAAAGAAAUAAAAAAGUAUGAGAAGAAAGUAUCUUACUGUAAAAAAAUAAACCAAGCCAAAAAAGACAACACUUUCAAAAAGAAAACCAAAAAGCAUCUUAUUGUAAGUCAAAACAAAACCAACACUUGCAAAAAGACAAAACAAAAAAAAAAAACCAUAAAGUAAAGGAAAAAAAGAAAAAGACUAUUCGGCACGGCACGGUGCCGCGGCACCCAGCCGCGUGCCGCUCUGUCUCGAGCGGCACGCAGUGGGUGCCGCGGCACACAGGGGGGGUUCGAGACCCCCCCUGUACCGUGCCCCUUUCUUAGGGGCACGGUACGUGCCGCAUCGGCACGCUCGAUACGCUUCGAUACUUAAAACCUUGAUCUCAGUGUGCGUGUGUGUGUUCUGGACGGAGGGGAAGGGGUGGGCACCCCUAAUUAUAAGCCCAUACUGAAAUUACACUUUUACCCCUCAAAAACAGCGUUCUGGGAGCUGCGUACCGGUACUCGGGCUCGUGUCACCGGUACCAGGCCAUUCCAGUACCGAUACCCAGUUUUCCAUCACCGAUACACAGCACAAAUUCUGUAACUAAUGCGAAUUUCAACUUUUGGAGCCCGUUUUCAAGUCUAGUUUACUUCGAAAACACUCAAACGCUCUCCAAACUUCGCUGGAACUUAUUUAAUAGCUUUUAAAGCUAGUUCCCACCAAAAUUUCAUAACCGUAGAAGUUCGGUAUAUUACACCGGGGGGGCUUCCACUGGGUCCCGGGGCGUGACAGAUUAAUUUGAUAUCAAAGCCUAGAGUUAAGUCUUAGGGGAUCUAGCAAACCUUAGGCCGGUUAAACUAUAGAAAAUAGGCUCGUGAGAGACGGGGUCUAUUUGACUUGUAAGCGAAAGUAUUUUGAUUGGAUUUUAUAUUAACUGUAAAAUGUUGGAGUUGAAUCGAAGUGUAUAACUCCUAACUUCGCGGAGGGUUACGUUGGCGGCCGACAACAUAACAUCGGGAGUUGGUAGUAAAGAACACUUCCUUACUUUCGCAUGAUUUGGAGUAUUAAUCUUUUGAGUGGGGUUGCAAUAGCGUGGAUUUUACUAACUUGCGCUUUAUGUUGCUGUAGUGAUAAUGCCGACGACUCGCUCUAAGUCUGUUGGAGCGGAUAAUGCGGCGAACUUCGAGGUGGAAAACUCCGUUACCUCCGGAUCUGGUGAGGUCCGUAAGUUGAGGACUCAGCUUGCCGCGCUGACAGAUCUCGUGGCACAGCAGGCGGCGGCGGCUCAGCAACAGGCCGAUGCGGCGCGCCGACAGAAGGCGCGGAUGAAGCGGUUGGAGGACCUACUACUUCAGCAGGCAGCUGCUAGAGAGGCGCAGAUUUUCACACCACCCGCGCCGACGGAGGUUGUAGCACCGAGGGCGCCGUCUCCCGCGCCCGGUACUUCGCGAGCGACUCCUUUUGUGGCGCCUCAGAAGGAGGUUGUUGCGGCACCACCGAUCCAGGUGCCACCGGCAGGGGCAGUUUUCCCCGUGAUGGUUGCUGGAGAGGAGCGGGACCGGCUCAUGGAUCGCCUCAAUGAAUUUAGGAGGUGCAAUCCCGGAAUCUUCGAUGGAGAGAAGGCCGACCACUGAAUCGUGGAGAAGUGGUUGAUGCAUAUGGAAAAACUCUUCUAUGACACCUAUGUGGAGGCGAGAGAUAGAGUUUGGCUCGCCACUCACCACUUGGACGGCGAGGCCUAUCGUUGGUGGUUGGAUAUUCGAGAUAACCGCAACACGGAUUUGUCGGCUAUUACAUGAAAGCGGUUCAAGGAGCUUCUUUUGGCGCACUACUUCCCCGACAGUGUCAAGAGGCAAAUGGAGAAGGACUUGCGCAGCUUGCGCCAGGGGGAGCGGUCUGUGGCCGAGUACGAGAGAGAGUUUUCUCUGCUACUCCACUGUGUACCAUUUGUGGUGCGGGAUGNAGGUGCAGUCCCCGGAUCUUCGAUGGAGAGAAGGCCGACCACUGGAUCGUGGAGAAAUGGUUGAUGCAUAUGGAACAGCUUUUCCGCGACACCUUUGUGGAGGAGAGAGACCGAGUUUGGCUCGCUACUCAUCACCUAGAUGGCGAGGCCUACCGUUGGUGGUUGGAUAUUCAAGAUAACCCCAGCAUGGAUUUGGUGGCUAUUUCAUGGAGGCGGUUCAAGGAGCUUCUUUUGGCGCAUUACUUCCCCAACAGCGUCAAGAGGCAAAUGGAGAAAGAUUUGCGCGGCUUGCGCCAGGGGGAGCGGACAGUAGCCGAGUAUGAGUGAGAGUUCUCCCGGCUCCACCAUUGCAUGCCUUUCGUCGUGCGGGACGACGAGGAUAAGGCCCGCAUUUUUAAGAGUGGAUUUCGACCGUCAAUCUUUCUGUUUGUGCAAUCGUCAAAUCUGCAAACCUACCGGAAAGUGGUGAACCGCGCUCUCAUUGUGGAGAGGGGCGCGGCAGAUGUGCAGAAGCGGAGAGAGGGCUUGGACAAGGGUAAGGACAAAAGGCCCGCGGCUGAGGGUGCGAGUCAGCCGCACUCUAGGAGGCCGCCGAGACACCCUAAGAGCCAGUCGCGAAGGCGUGGCUCAUCUGCGCAGCGAGGAGGAUCUGAUCAUCGCCGACCUCCCCAGUGUGUGAUCUACAGUGGCCCCCACAUUCCACCGCAGUGUCCGCAGCGAGAAGGCAGGUACUUCCUUUCUGGCCAGAAAGGCCACUUCCGGACCGAGUGCCCCAGGGGUUUAUCACCGGUACCAUAAUCUGCAUAGGCACAGGCGUACAAGCUGCUAGUCGGGGGACUGCAUCGGCGCACUACCAGCCUGGGUGGCCACCCGUCCAACGACAGAUUGAGUCACGCAGGCCCCGAGCGUGCGCAUGUAUGCGGCCCAGACUGAAGAGGCGACAGCAGCCGAGGAUGUAGUGGCAAGUAUCAUUUUAUUAAAUGGCAUUAGAGUUCGAGCUUUAUUUGAUACAGGUGCAUCGCAUUCAUUCAUAAAUCGGCUGUUUACCGAGUUGCAUGGCAUCCCACUAGUAUCCUUGUUGCAUCCUGGACGUGUUAUUGUACCCGACCAUACCUUAGACAUUAGGGAGUAUUGCCCCAGUUGCCCUGUUCGGGUAGGAGAUUUGAUUAUGCCCGUGGAUCUUUUAGCGUUGCAUAAACUCGGUGAAUUUGAUGUGGUUUUGAGCAUGGAUUAGCUGACGAGAUGCUUCGCCACUAUCGAUUGCAAGAAUCGAACGGUGACAUUUAGAGAACCGGGGCAGGAGGAUGUUGUAUUUAGGGGAUGUCAGAGUUCACUGUUUGCGAUGACGAUUAGCUCUUCGCGAGCUAGGUAGUUGAUCAGCAGGAGGUGCAUAGCCUAUUUAGCUAGGUAGUUGAUCAGCAGGGGGUGACUACCCCAAUCUUAAAGGCACCCUAUACGAUGGCACCGGCUGAGUUAAAAGAGCUUAGGGCACAACUGCAAGAUCUUUUGGAUAAAGGCUUCAUUCGACCAAGUGUUUCGCCAGUUUUAUUUGUUAAGAAGAAAGACGGAUCACUUCGCUUGUGCGUAGAUUAUCGUGAACUUAAUAAAGUCACGAUCAAAAAUAAAUAUCCAUUGCCGAGGAUUGAUGAUCUAUUUGAUCAGCUUCAGAGAUCGAGUGUGUAUUCCAAGAUAGACAUGCAGUCGGGAUACCACCAGUUAAAGAUUAAGCCUGAGGAUGUGUCGAAAACGGCUUUUAGAACACGGUAUGGACAUUAUGAGUUCACUGUUAUGCCGUUUGGGCUUAUUAAUGCCUCAGCAGCUUUUAUGGAUUUAAUUAACCGUGUUUUCAAGCCUUUUCUAGACAGGUUCGUCGUAGUGUUCAUUGACGACAUUCUAGUCUUUUCUCGAAGCGAUAAGGAUCACGAGGAGCACUUGAAACUUGUACUUCAAGUGCUUCGGGAAAAGAAGUUUUAAGCUAAGUUGAAAAGGUGUGAAUUUUGGCUUUGAGAGGUGGCCUUUUUGGGACAUUUGAUUUCGGGGUCAGGUAUAGUCGUGGAUCCUAGAAAGAUUGAAGCAAUCAAGGAUUGGCCUAGACCGACGAGUGUCACAGAAAUUCGGAGUUUCCUUCGAUUGGCAGGCUACUACCGGAGAUUUGUUGAGGGAUUUGCGAAGUUAUCUACUCCCCUCACGCGGCUCACGCACAAAGGCACUAAAUUCAUUUGAAAUGAUGCGUGCAAGAGAAGCUUCCAAGAGUUGAAGGCAAGAUUGACGACCGCCCUGAUCUUGACCUUUGUAGUUGCUGGAGCAGGGUAUGUAAUUUAUAAUGAUACUUCCUUUAAUGGAUUGGGCUGUGUCUUGAUGCAGGAUGGAAAGGUGAUCGCGGAUGCUUCUCGCCAAUAAAAGGAUUAUGAGAGAAACUAUCCUACACAUGAUUUGGAGUUGGCGAACGUAGUUUUUGCAUUAAAGCUAUGGCGCCAUUAUCUUUAUGGCGAGCGGUGUGAAGUGUACACGAAUCACAAGAGCUUGAAAUAUGUAUUUACUCAGAAAGAGCUGAACUUAAGACAGCGUAGAUGGUUGGAGCUGCUCAAGGAUUAUGAUCUGACAAUCCUCUACCACCCGGACAAGGCUAACGUGGUGGCGGAUGCGCUAAGUCGGAAAUCGACAGAUAACUUAGUGAUGCUUGUAGUCACUCAACCGCCGUUGAUUGAGCAAAUGAAGCGGUUGGAGUUGAAGGUAGUGGCUGGCAUUGGAGGUGCAACCAACAUUAUUGGAAAGAAUUAAAGAAAAGCAAGUUCACGAUGUGGAAUUGCAAAAGAUUCGAACUAAGAUGGUUGAUGGUUACACCGGUGAUUUCCUUAUGGAUGAUCAAGGGUUGUUGCAUUUCCGCGGGCGGAUGUGUACCAGCGGAAUCGGGAAUUAAAGAGGAUAUUCUUCUUGAAGCUCACCAUGCACCCUAUGCUUUACAUCCAGAAGGCACCAAGAUGUACAAGGAUUUGAAGUUACUUUAUUGGUGGCCCGGAAUGAAAAAGGACGUUGGCGAGUUUAUAGCUCGAUGUUUAACUUGUCAAAAAGUGAAAGCUGAGCACCAACUACCCGCGGAAAAACUUCAAAAUUUACCUAUUCCCGUGUGGAAGUGGGAAAAGAUCACCAUGAAUUUUGUGAUGGGAUUGCCUCGCUCUCAGGCCGGGCAUGAUGCUAUUUGGGUGAUCGUGGAUAGGUUGACGAAAUCGGCUCAUUUUAUACCUAUUCACACGACUUGGACAGGAGAUAAGCUCGCACAAAUGUACCUUGAUGAGAUUGUACGACUUCGUGGGGUGCCCACUUCGAUAGUAUCAGAUCGAGAUCCCAGAUUUGUAUCUCACUUUUGGAGGAGUCUGCAGGACGCCUUGGGCACUCGUUUGGAUUUCAACACUGCUUUCCACCUUCAGAGUGAUGGGCAAUCUGAGCACACUAUACAGACUCCAGAGGGUAUACUUCGAGCGUGCAUGAUAGACUUCCAGGGAGGAUGGUCACAGCACUUACCGAUGGCGGAGUUUGCUUAUAACAAUAUUAUCAAGCAAGUAUCAAGAUGGCACCCUUCGAAGCACUUCAUGGACGGAAGUGCAGAUCGCCACUUCAUUGGAGUGAAGUUGGCGAGAGAUUGGCUUUAGACCCCGAUGUGCUCCAGGAAGCAGAGGAUAAAGUUCGCAUUGCUCGGGAACGUUUGUUGACGGCUCGGAGUAGGCAGAGAAGUUAUGCUGAUAGGCGUCGACGAGACUUGGAAUUCCAGGUUGGAGAUCAUGUCUUCUUGAAAGUCUCGCCGACCAGAGGAAUUAGAAGAUUUGGUAUUCGGGAUAAGUUGAGCCCCCGAUUUAUUGAACCGUAUGAGAUUCUAGAGCGUGUAGAUCCGGUAGCGUAUCGGCUUGCUCUACCACCGAACCUAUUGGGAGUGCACAAUAUCUUUCAUGUUUCGGUCCUUCGGAAGUACGUAUACGAUCCGGCUCAUGUUUUGGAUGCUAUACCAUUGGAGUUGAGAAAUGACUUAAGCUUUGAGGAACAACCGGUGAGGAUUUUGGCUCGCGAGGUAAAGAAGCUUCGGAAUAGCGAUAUUCCUUAUGUGAAGGUUCUUUGAAGCAACCACGAUGAACGCGAGGCCACGUGGGAGUUGGAAAGCGCACUGCAGAAGCGCUAUCCCUAUCUUUUUCAGAUGGAGUCUUGAGAUAACUUGCUUUUUAGUUUCGCAGACGAAACUCCUUUUUAGGAGGGGAGAAUGUAACACACUAAACUAUAGCAAAUUGCGGGGUUCGAGUGCUUGAUCCGUGUUCCGAGCUUUUCCAGGUUUUCAGGAGCGUCAUUGACUGUGUUCCGACCUAUGACUCGCAUCCCUCGAAGCGAGAGUGCAAACCAAAACCUCUAAAUUGCAAAUUUUGAGCUGCUCUCAGGUUGAACUCUGCAGAGCAGAGUACCGGUACAGCAUCGGCCGAGCACCGGUACUAGAUCUGGUACCGGUACGCCAUCGCGGUGGUACCAGUACCCAGCACGUUUGCUCGCUGACCCGAGGCUCGGGUUUGCGCGUGCUGCUGCCUGGUACCGGUACACUAGCCCGUGUCACCGGUAUGCAGUGCAGUUCGCAAACUGCAGAUUUUUUAGGGUUCUCUUUGUAAUUGUUGCAACAUUAUAAAUACCCCACACCCUUUGGCUGGGGUAUUUUGUGCUACAACUAGAGAAGAUGAGAGGUAGGGUUUCUCUCCCAUUUUUUCUUGUUUUCCCUCUCUUUUUGCUUGGGAUUAUGGAGAUUGAUCUCUCCUUUUUGCUCUAUUUUGCAUUUUGGUGACCUCCCCACCAUGGGAGAAGCUUGGAGCUUGGAUAGGAGCUUGUUGGUGGAGAGAUCUUCAACCCUAUCUCAUUUCUAGCUUGAUUUGGGGCUUCUAAAAAGGUUAGUGACCUUAAUCCCUCAUUUGAUUCAUGUUUUGGUAGAUUUCUUGAGAUGAAAACCUAGAAUGUGAAAUCUAGCGUUUUAUUUGGGGGUUUUUGAAUUGUGGCUUUUGGGACUUAAUUGAUAGGUGUAGAACCUUCCCCUAGGUUGGAAUAUAAGUACUCUAGCUUCCAUUUGGAGAUCCAGAGGGUUUUACACCAUACAAGGUGAGUUUUUACUCUUUUUCUGGGUUGGUUAAAGUUGAACUCAUGGAGUGUUCGUUAACUACGUCUAACCCUCUUAAAAUCUUCCUUAGGGAGCUAGGAAACUAGUGGACAUCUUCGUUAGCGCAAACGAAGGGGAUCCGAAGAGUCCUUGGUGGGUUUGACCUCACCGAAAUGGGUGAACCACCCCUAUGUUAUUUUUCUUGUUAUAAAAAUAGAAAUUCAUGCAUAUUCAUGCUAGAUAGAACAUAUGAAAAUUUUAGAAUGCUUAAAAUACAUGCGUUAUGUAUUAUGAAAUAUUACCUCUAUAUAGUAGAGAGAUUUGUAUAUAGUAUUCAUGCAAGUAAAUAGCAUUCUUCUAUAUGGCUUAAAAUCAUGUUUAUAUAGUGAAAAUGACAAGUAUAAUAUGCUCUUGGACAUAGAACUCAUGCUUGACAUAGUGGACAUAAAUGUCAUAAAGUGGCAUUCAACUUAGUAAACGGAUAAACUCUCACUUGAUGACAUAGUGAUAGGCCAUUGGAACAUUAGCCUUUAUUUCAUGUUUUAGACAUGAUGACACUGGACUUGAGACGGAUGACUACGCUUGCUUGCCAUUGUGCUCAUUCGCACAUUCUUGUGAGAGUCGCUCCCCACAAGCCGGCACUUCGGAGAUAGCCAACGCGACACAAGCUCGCCCGUGCGGGAUUGGGCGCCGAAAUGGGAUGCCGUGGGGGAGGCUCAUUCCUAUGGUGGGGAUGUUGACUACCACGGAGCCAUUAGGCACAGCGCACUACCUUGUGUAGGUCCUAUAUGAUUGGAACAACGUUGAACUAAAAUGCAAUGUGGACAUUAGACUAAUUAGUAAAUGUUAACAUUCUACUAGUUGUACUUGUGGACACCAUGCUAUUUAUAUAGAUGCUCAUUCAUGUUAGAAUAGCACUUAUACUUGUAAAAAUUCAUGCUAAGUUGAGGCAUAGUAGUUAAGUAAGUUUUAUUCAUGCUUAUUAAACAUGUUGUUCAUUUCGUUAAAAGUACAUCAUAUUACUUAUAUGCCUCCAUAACCUAGUGCUGUAUUUCGCUGAUGUCGGCAGCUAACCCACUGAGAACUAUUGAUUAAUAGUUCUCACGCCCUCUAUAUUGAUGUUUUUGUUUUCAGAGCCAUCCACACCGGGAGAGGCUCGGGAUCGCAAAAAAGGGAUCGCAACUAGCUAGAUAGCGAGGAGUUUUUACGCUAGGUGGUCAUCUCUCUAUUUUUGUACUUGAUGUAGAGAGUGAGAGUUUUUGUACCCAUGUGUAGAGGCCACCAUUUUUGUAUUUCUAGCACUUGUAUUUGGGAUCUUAUGAUGUAUCUACUUUUAUGGUUAUGUUAGUUGUUUAGUUCUUUUAUCCACUUGCUAUUAGAAUCUAGUUGUACUCAUGCUCUGAUAUCUCUAGAUACUUGUUUAUCCUUGUUUUAUUUAUCGCUCUGUUGUAGACGCCUUAUAUGUUGUCGGCAUAUGGCGGGUCUGGACACGCACCGGGCGGGCUUCCGCUGGGUCCCGGGGCGUGACAAUGAAGAUGAAUUACUAUUGAGCCAAGGGGAAUCCGAGAAUUCUCUUGUUAUGUCAUGGCUUUUAAAUUCGAUGCAACCAGCUAUUGCUCGUGGUUAUCUCUUCUUUGACACAGCUUGCAAAAUUUGGAGUGCUGCUGCACAAACUUAUUCGAAGGUUGGAAAUGAUGCUCUUGUAUAUGAGAUCAGAAAAAAAAAACUUCAUGAAACCAAACAAGGAGACAUGACUAUAGCUCAGUAUUUUUCCGAGCUGAGUAGUCUUUGGCAAGAGUUGGAUUAUUAUCAGGACUUUAAUGCUGAAUGUCCUAGUGAUGCAACCAAGUUUCAAAAGUUGAUGGAAAAAGAAAGAGUGUAUGAUUUCUUGGCGGGCUUACAGGCAGAAUAUGACCCGAUUCGGGUCCAAGUGCUUGGUAGAGAUCCUUUUCCAUCAUUGUGUCAGACUUAUGCUUUCGUCCAACAGAAGGAAAGUAGGAAUGUUAUGCUUCACCAAAUAGUACCUGAAAUAUCAGCUUUGAUAUCUAAUACAACUUUGAAGAGCAUAAAAGGACCUCAGCAUCGAGCAAGUGAUCAAGGAGUAUUGGAUAAAGACCUAAUCAAAUAUGACUACUGCGGUAGAACAAGACAUACUAGAGAAACUUGCUGAAAGCUUCAUGGACGUCCAUCUAGAGGGCGAGGUGGAAGAAGUGGAGGUGGUCGAGGAUUUGGGCGAUCACAAGCAUACCAAUCAAAAAUAGUUGACGCCUCCGUUCAGGAUGGAGAACAUUCAAAUUCUAGUGCUCUAUCUCAAGAUGAUCUGCAAACACUUCGUCAACUGAUGUCAAGGUUGGAGUUUUCCUCUACUUCUGUGUCUUCUUCUCCUUCUGCUGCUGCUACCUCAAACUCAAACUUUGCUCUCUCAUGUAUCCUUGCUAGUGCUUAUCAUACUACUAAAAAUAGUCCUUCCCCUUGGAUUAUUGAUUUAGGUGCAUCUAAUCAUAUGACUGGUUUAUCCGAUCAUUUCUUAUCAUAUUUUCCUUCCUCAGGCAAAGAUAAAGUUCGUAUAGCCGAUGGUUCUAUGUCUUCUGUCUCUAGCAAAGGUUCCAUCAUUUGUUCUUCUCAUCUCACUUUGCCAUCAGUUUUACAAAUUCCAUCUUUGCCGAAUAAUUUACUAUCUAUUAGUGCCAUUACUAGAGAUCUCAAUUGUAAAGUCACAUUCUUUCCUUCCUAUUGUAUUUUUCAGGAACUGGGGACGGGGAAAACGAUUGGCUAUGGUAAAGUGCAUGAGGGACUAUCUUCUGGAGGAAGGGUUGGAUAAAUCAUCAGAUAAUAAUGUCGCACUUCAAGCAAAUUCCAGUCUUGCCUGCCGAGAUAUUUACUUAUGGCAUCUUCGUCUUGGUCAUCCAUCUUUUGAAAUAAUGAAACUUAUGUUUCCUAAACUUUUUGAGCAGUGUAGUACUGAAACUUUAACAUGUGAUACUUGUGAGAUGGCAAACAUACGCUUGUUAAUCUUCCAAUUAGUAGCAAUAAAAGUACUGCACCCUUUCAUAUUGUUCAUUCUGAUGUUUGGGGACCAAGUAGAACAGUAUCUAUAGCUGGUUAUAGAUGGUUUGUUACCUUUAUUGAUGAUUAUAGUCGUACCACUUUGGUGUUUCUAAUACGAAAUAAAAGUGAAGUUUUCUCUUGUUUCAAGUUGUUCCAUAAAAUGGUUGAUAACCAAUUCAACGCCAAGAUAUAAGGUUUUUAAGGUCUGAUAAUGCUAGAGUACAUUGAUAGUGAUUUCCAAAAUUAUUUAAACUCACAUGGUAUUUUAGACCAAACUAGUUGUGUCAAUACCCCUGCUCAGAAUGGAGUAGCAGAAAGAAAGAAUCGGCACCUAUUGGAGGUUGCUAGAUAUUUCUUAUUUGCUAUGAAUGUUCCUAAGGGGUAUUGGGGUAAUGCCGUUAUGUCUGCGGCAUAUUUGAUCAACAGAAUACAACUACGAGCGAUUGAUUUUAAGACGCCAAUACAAAAAUUACAAUGGCAUACAGAAUUCAUUGUCCCACCAAAGGUGUUUGGACGCACUUGUUUUGUUCAUGAUCACAAGCCCUCAAGCCUCAAGGGAUAAGUUUGAUCCUCGAGCUUUAAAAUGUAUCUUCAUUGGGUACUCUCCUCAAAAGGGGUAUAAAUGCUAUCAUCCUCCUGCGAGGAAGGUGUAUGUUACCAUGGACGUAACCUUUAGAGAGCAUGAAGCCUAUUAUCAGCCAACUCUUAAGGAUGUGAGUCAGAAUGAGAACAAAGAGAUGAAUGAAAGCAUAUUAACUGAUACAGGACAUUUGCCACUCUGGUAUUCGCGAUUAGAGUUGCAAAUGUGUGAGCAGGAGAAUAACGGAAAUGAUUAUGAGGGGGAGCAAGAAGAACAACAUCUAUCUGAUGAACAAACUGGAACAGAGGAGCAAGAUGAAGAAGAUAAUAAUAUUGAUAACUCUAAAGAAUGGCAGGUUUACAGUAGAAGGAAGAGAAGAGAUGAGUCAGUCAUUCACACAUUACCUAGCCAAGAGCAAUUCCCAGAUCUAGUUCCUGUUCCUCAAUCCAUUCCUGUCUCUCAAUCUCAAUUUCAAUCUCAGACUCAAUCUUCCGAGCAAUGUAAGUCUAUCCCUUCAAAGCCCGAGCCUCAAUUUAAUGAUCUUGAAAUUCCUAUCGCUUUUAAAAAGGGUAUUCGACAUGCUACUAAACAUCCUAUCUCACAUUUUUUAUCUUAUGACUCUUUGUCUCCAUCAUAUAAAACCUUUGUGUCUUCUGUCUUCUACAUAAAUUACACAAAAUUGGAAGGAGGCAUCUACAGAUCCUAAAUGGAAGGAGGCGAUGGUUGAACAAAUGAAAGCGUUGAAGAAAAAUGAUACUUGGGAGCUUAUCGAUCUUCCAGAGGGAAAAAGACUUGUUAGAUACAAGUGGGUCUUUACAGUGAACAUCAAAGCAGAUGGGUCAAUUGAAAGAUACAAAGCUAGACUAGUUGCAAAAGGAUUCACACAAACUUGUUAGAUACAAGAGAUGUUUGCGCCAGUAGCAAAAUUACAUUCUAUUCACAUUCUUUUAUCAUGCGCAGCAAAUCUUGGAUGGGAUUUGCAGCAGUUGAAUGUUAAAAAUGCCUUUUUGCAUGGUGAUUUAAAAGAAUAAGUGUAUAUGGAAAUCCCUCCAGGUUUUUCUUCAGCUAAAACAGUUGGAAAAGUGUGUAGACUAAAAAGGCAUUGUAUGGUUUGAAGCAAUCUCCAAGAGCUUGGUUUGAUAGAUUCAGUAAAGCUGUGUUAGCGUUUGGAUACAAUCAGAGCAACGCUGAUCACACUAUGUUCAUUAAACGGAGCAAUGGAAAAGUGACUAUUUAUUGUCUAUGUUGAUGAUAUAGUAGUCACUAGGGAUGAUCCUCAGGAAGCAAAUAAUCUCAAAAAUUACCUUGCUAAAAGAAUUUGAGAUAAAAGAUUUGGGAAAGUUGAAAUAUUUUCUAGGUAUUGAAGUUGCCAGAUCUAAUAAAGGAAUAUUUAUAUCUCAAAGAAAGUAUGUGUUGGAUUUACUUCAUGAAACUGGCUUGUUGGGGUGCAGGCCAACAAAUUCGCUACGGAGGUCAAUUUUCGUUUAAAAAAUGGAGUUGGUGAAUCAAUUUGUAAGGUAUCGGACUUCUAAAAUCAUGAAGUUACGGUGUACAUUUGGUUGGAAGACCAUUUGAAAGGUUCCGGUGAAGUUCGGUGAGGCCCGGAAGCAUUCGGGUGUUUCGGUGCGCGUAGGCGCUAAAACGGAGCCGAAAGGCCACGUUGGGCCGUGAGCUAAAUCCGGCAUUAGCGAGGAUGGAAAGAUGAUGAAAACAUGUUUGGAAACAUGUUUGAAGAGUCUCGGUUCGAUUUGAAACGAAUCGGAAGUCAAACGAGCGAAAACGGGCGAAAACGGAGAAGAAACGGUGAAAAAGGCUGAAAUUUGGCUAAGUCCUUGAGGCUGAGUACUGGACCUUCGGGGACCGGUCUCUCACCGCAAGGACCGGUCUCUCAGGGACCGGUCUCUCACCGCAAGGACCGGUCCCCGAGCGCGAAAAUGGCCCAGUUUGGGCUGUUGCGAGGGAAGCUUUGUUGAAGGGCUUUUAUGCAAUUUUGCACUUAUGAGAGUGUAUAGAGAGGGUCUUUCUCUCUUUCUCUCAUUUCCUUCACUCAAAACACCACCUCUCUCUCUCUCUAAACGUGAAGGAGAAGAAGAAGAAAGAAGAGAAGAGAAGGAAGGAAAAGGAGGAGAAAGGAGAGGAGAAGAAGAGGAUCCUCACCACCAUCAUCAUCUUCUUCUUCCUCUCACCAUUAGAGCAAGCUUAGCAAGGUAAGCUUCAAACCCUACAAUGGUAGAUUUCUAGAGUUUGAUUCUAAUGCUUUAGAAAUGGGUUUAGUAGCCUUCCUAGAUGCUAAUGAGAUGGAUUAUGCUUAGAUCCAAGGGUUUAAUGGUGGAUUUUUGCAUAGUAGCAAAUCUAGGGCUCAAAAUGCUAUUUUUGCAAAUAGAUGGGUUUGAUCUCUUUUAACCCUCUAUAAACCUAAUUGAUAGGUCACUGAACGCGCUGGAAGCGACGGUUUGGCAAUCCGUCGAGCCGUUACAAAGAUAUCGAAGAAGAGGCCGAUUUUGGUACAGAUUGCCGCAGCUCGCGGCGAAAGCUUCCAAAAAUCAUGGAAAUGGAAUCGUAGCAUCGUGGUGUCGGGGAAUAAACUCCAGAACAGACGGAUCGCGGAUAGGAGGUCAUUUGGCAGUCGCGCGUGAGUUGGGUCGAGCCGUGCGGCGUGCGCCGCAGGAGGCCGAUUGCGAGUGACGACGAGCAAUCGGAACGCUAUAAAAGGUGGGUGGUGUCCAUCCCGAAGCAAUCGGGCUCCCUUUUAUGUCUAAGUUUAUAUUGAUCAAAUUGCAUAUUGACAUCUUGCAUUAUAGGGUGAUAAAUGAUGGUUUGGUCCUAUACCUUGCAUGUUCUUUGGUAGAAUAAUGUAUUUGGCUUAGUACUUAUAUCUAGCAUGCUUGAGGUUUAUAUAUGUGAUGUGGAACCCUAUAAUGAGAUGAUAAGUGUGGAUGGGAAUUUAGUAAUGUAUUGGCUAUUGCAUUGGAAACUUGUAAAGAACGAGUGGCAUCUAGUUGAUAGUAAACAAAAGAACGAGUGACAUAUGUGAGUCGUAGUGUAUAUGAAACCUAUGGACUAUAUGAUGAUUGUAACCCUAGAGGAUAGGGUAUUCUCGAGAUGAGGAUUGGAUCAUGCUCACGGUCUGUUUAAAUCUUGUGAUGGAAGCCCCACACAAGUAGUGCGCUCCGGAUGUUGGUCACGCCAGGGAUUGCCUAUAUGGCCCCGCCAGACGGUCUCGGGUCCGUAGUGUGAGUUAAUUCUCCCUACGUGUCGAGAUGGCUAGUGAGCUGUAGGCGAGCCUUCGGGUAAGCCAUGAGAUUAAUGAACAAGUAAAUGAGGUUAAUGAACGAGUGAAUAGCUUCACCUUUGGACAUGAUAACAGGUUAGUUGCUUACCUAUUUCAUUGUACAUGCAUUCAUAUAUUUAUGAUUGGGCAUAGUAGAGUAGCUUUACUUCUGUCAUUUACCGCUUUCCUUAUCUAUCUAUCUAUCGAUUAUCUACUUGUGCCCGACUUGGACCUAGUGGGGAGAUCGGCGGAGUCGGCGGCCGAACCCACUGGGAACUAAGGAAGUUAGUUCUCACCCCCAUUUUACUACAGGGCCGAGCGCGAGUUCACACGGCGAGGAUCGCGGUAAGGGCUUAGCGCCCUAGUUGCAUUAGUCUACUUUCCUAUUUCUGCAUUAGAGUCACCUUUUAUGCUUUGAGAGUAGAUGAUGUAUAGGAUGUGAGGUAUUUUGAGAUAAAUGUUUAUUUUGGAAGAUGUAAGCUUUAUAGUAUGUUUUGGAAGUUCAAUGUAUAAUCAAGUUGUAUUAUAAAGGCUGAAUGAAUGUAAUAGAUAGAUGCUCUCUCUCUUUAUCAUUACUUGUAUGUUCUAUACUUGUAUCUUGCUCUUGGCUGUUGUGCACUAAUUGUGCUCUCGUUGCAGUUAUCGAUUGUGUAUGUAAUCAAGUUAUUUUCCUGGGGACUUGUUGUACACAAUCUUGUUGUUAGCCUUGGGCGGACAGGGGAGGUGCUGUCCGUCCGGCGUCUGUUCGACGCGCCCGGGCCGAACCAAAUUGGUAGCGGUCGCGGGGCGUGACACAAUUGAUAGGGAAUGAUAUCAAAGGUUAGUAGGAAAGCUAAUUUAUUUGUCUCGUACCCGGCCUGAUAUAACCUGCGCUGUUAGUGUUGUAAGUCAAUACAUGCAUGAUCCGAGGACAUCACAUAUGGAAGCUGUUCAUCGUAUCCUAAGGUACUUAAAAACAUACCCUGGAAAAGGGCUCCUAUUUUCAAAUAAUGGCCAUUUGAAAAUUGAGGCAUAUUAUGAUGCUGACUGGGCUAGCUCACCGGAUGAUCGAAGAUCAACCACAGGAUAUUGUACCUUUGUGGGUGGCAAUUUGGUUACUUGGAGGAGCAAGAAAGAGACAGUAGUUGCAAGAUCUAGUGCAGAAGCUGAGUAUAGAGCUAUGACACAUGGAGUCUGUGAAUUAUUGUGGCUUAAGAGAAUUAUGCAAGAAUUAGGGCUGGAAAAUCAUAGGCCUCUAAUACAUAUUGCGACAAUAAAGCUGCUAUCAACAUCGCUCAUAAUCCAGUGCAACACGAUAGGACGAAGCACAUUGAAAUUGAUAGGAACUUCAUCAAGGAGAAGCUGGACGAGGGAAUCCUGUGCAUUCCUUUUGUGAAGUCAAGAGAUCAACUUGCGGACAUUCUUACUAAGGGUCUUGGGAGUAGCAUAUUCAAUAACAUUGUGUACAAGAUGGGCAUGAUAAAUAUCUAUGCUCCAUCAUGAGGGGGAGUGUUAGAAGUUGCUACAUUGCAACAUUUUUAUUUUUAUUUCUUUCAGGGUGUUGUGUAAAACUUCCAUUAUAUAUAAAAAAUAAGUAUUGGUGGGACUAGGGUAAAGAGAGAUCCCUAAUCCCUUCUCUAAUCUUCUUCUUCCUCCAAGUUCAUCAGUUGUUGUGAUGUGGCUUCGUUAUUAUUAAACCCUAAAUUUUAAAUUUUAAGUCCUAAACACUAUUAUUAAAUUUUAAAUGCUAUAAUUAUAUCUUCAACGUUAAACCCUCCACAUAUAGCAUAAUUGGUCCUAGUGGGGGAAGCAGCGCAAUUCUCACAAUAAAAAGAAAUUUUAGUGGGCCAAAAAAAACCCUCGGGGACCCAAAACAUUUCUCACAAUAAAAAAAAAAAAAAAGGUCCCAAAAAAAAAACUCGAUCCUCAACUUCAUCCUCCACCAACCCUCCGUCACCAGGUCCCUUCUCGCCGUCCCUCUCCUCCCCUCCUCUAUCGCCCUCUCUACGGCAUCCUCCGCCACCUUCUCCUCCACUCUCUACCACCUCUUUUCCUCUCUUGCCUCCCUCCAUAAGCCGCCUCCGCCUUUUGAAGGCCUCCGCUCCCUCUUUACAAGCGGCACAUGGCGUACCGUGCCAUGAUACCCAGCAGGUAUCGUGUUGUCUCGUACAAUCCCCAAUAGGUACCGCAACACAGAAGGCCCCACCCCCGUAACAACCCCCUUGUACCGCGCCCCUUAUUUAUGGGUACCGUACAGCACACCCUGUGUCAUACGGUACAAGGCGGCACUUUAACACAUUUAUCACCCCAUUUCAUCAAAUGAAAUCUCUUUCUUUACUAGCUUACUGAACCACCAGGCACCAACGCAAUAAACUAUGGCUAGUUUGUUGUCAGCAGAGCCUACUGUAAAUGGACACGAAUCUCAAAUUCUAAUGGUCUACAUGUCAAUUGAGUCACAUCGGGACAUUAUUUGGGUCAAUUAACUGUUUCAUUCAGUUGUUAGGUCUCUAAUUUCUACUUAGGUCAUUAGGGGACCAAUUGGAGUUCUUUUUUGGUUCAGGAACGAUUUGAAUUUAUGAGUUGAAACAUUGGAGUUUGAGCUAUCUUUGGAUCUCAAGUUGGUGUCCUUUGGAUCACUAUGACUGAAGUCAAUUUAUUUAUCAAGGAUUUUUAUUUGAUUCUUACUCUCUUCUCCAGAUGUGAGUAUCCUUUUACCCUCUUCUUGUUCUUCAUUGCCACCUCCACUUCUUACUCUAAUUCUGCUUCCUUCACUUCUAUUUCUCCCACCUACCUCAUUUUUGCUGCAGGAUACUCCUCCAAACCCCAGCAUAGCCAGCAACCAAUUGCAACUCAAUCGUUGACAUUUGUUGCGUGAUUGCCACAAUGCAGCUCUAGUAACGCUAUUCUAUCAACCAUCUAGUCGAUACAUAAUUAAGAGUGGCCUCAGCAUUGGAGCAUCAUUAUUCACUAUAGUCGCUAGGAUUAUUUCUGGGAUCUAAUUUCGAUUAAUAUGGUUGACUCAUAAGUUACUCAGGCAAGAGUAAAGCAUCUAGAAUCUAGAACCACAAAACUCAAAAGCAGAAAUAAAAUAAGCGAUCUAGAGUUAUGAAAGAGAAAUAGAUAAAAGAAUAGAAGAAAUGUCGCCUAUCCAAACACUUUAUCACCUCAAUAGAGGCAAUUUAACUUGUAAAAACAUUCUAAUGCUAUUCAACCUAUACCAUAAUCACAUCGUGGAAAUAUGCUUAACUCAAAUCUGAACUCCAUGUGUUCAGUAAAUCGGAGGGUUUAAAAACAAUACUCUUCGACCAUAUGAGUCAUGUCAAUAUUGUAAACACUACCAAUCUCUAGCUUCAAUUAACCCCACUUUUCCAGCCAAAGCCUAUUAUGACCCACUAGCAAGCCUAUAACCACGCAAGUUAAGUGAAACAUACAGUAGUGGAGUCUAUGGAGUACUGGAUGGUAGUAAUAUUAAUUGCGUAGUAAUAUUAAUUGCAAAGAGAAGGAGAUAAUUGAUGCCCUAUAUAACAACUUGCAUUUGAUCGCAAGAAAGAGAAAAAAAAAAAUGCAUGAAGCAAAAUUCUACCUAUUUGGUAUUUCUCCAGGAAGCUCCAUAAAAUGUAUUGCACGAUCAAAAUAACUUGCAAAGACCACCUGCAAAGCCAUUUUGCAUAAAAACCAUCACAAAUCACAAUACAUUUACAAAUAUUGCACUCAUACUUGUAUUUUGACAAUCAACCAAAGUAAGAAAAUCCUCAGUUGUUAGAAUUUCUCACUACUGAAUCUAUAAACAUAAACAUCCAACAAGCAUAACUCCUAUACUUGAAAUACUUGCAUGCAAAGGAAACUCAUAAACAUAGCUCAUACAGACCUUAUUUGGUUUUAUCUUAUCCUAGUACACAAAGCGCUAUGCCUUUUUCUUUUUCACUAUGUCUCAUUUGAUUUCCUUAUUUGUCCACCCUUUUUAUAUUAACUUCCCCUCUUUUACUGAUUUUUUGUUAGAUGCCAUAGCUAUUGUUCUUCACAUGCUGAAAUAGAACCAGUAUCAAAUAAAAAGUGUAACUUCCUGAUCAAGGAGGUCCAAGUAGUUGCAGUAUCACAAUGUGUAAGUUCUAAUUAAAGGAAAACUUUAGGUUAAAGAUAACUGCAUAUUGCAAACACUAGAGAAGCAGAGCAUGUUAAAAGAGAUCAAACGUAUCGAAAAAUUUGUUUGGGAUAUAGGUCAGCUCACACAGAGCUUGUUUGCAGUCAUAACGCACUUUGUACAGAGAUGACUGCUAUUGAAGCAUAUGCCUUGCAGAUAGCUCAAAAUAAUUGCAAUUUGUCCAACCUGGAGUUAAAAACUACCAGAUUACGUGUGAUACCAUCACAGGAAAGAUCCGAAAAAAUUGCUUACUUCCAGGGAACCAAUGCCAGUGAAAGAGUAGAGCCGAGUCGGCGUUACAGCCAUAACGUAAUACCGCGUAGCAUUUCCAACAGAGGCUGUUUCCAUCUGCUCAAUAAGCACAAGCUUAUUACCAUUCUACAGCCGAAUAAAUUGGUCGAAAAAGAAGCAACAAGUGAUAUUAAAGCUCCGCCGCAUUUACCUGCAAGCCUGUUAUGGCUUCUCGGAGCUCAGUCAACUCAAAUAGCUGCUUGACAUAUUUCUCCCUCUUCUCCACCUCAUCCACUGCCGUCUCAUAUAUCUGCCCAUUCUCGGUCCCAAGGAUCACUUCCUUUGUUGAUGCUGAUAGGAAAUAAUUCACAAUCAGCACAUGACAGAUCGAGAACUCAACCUUCCAGCAAAAACAGCUCUCGUGGAACAUGGAAACAUAGGUAUACCUUACAUGUAGUGCAGAAAAUUUUGAGAUGGUGCCUAAAGUGUCAAAAUUUUUAUGUUGCUACCACAACUAUGCGGUAUAUUUCAUUUAAUAACCUCUCUAUCAGAACUUCAAGGUACUACUUUUUUUUCCCUCUAGCAAAAUGCACUGGAAUCUAAUCUAGCAGAAAUUUUAAUGGAAAUUACUGAAGAUCAAAGCAAUGAAGAAUGAAGUGGUUGUCAAAUCCACCGAGAAGAGGGACAGACCUUCGGUGAUUAGCUGGCGAUUCCAAGCAACGGCAUUGACGAUGAGGCCUUUGAGGCGACUAAGAAGCUUCGGCCUCGGCCAUUUGGAGUGCAUGUAGUAAGUCUCGGCGCCGGCGGGGUGAAGGACCGUGGCGAUGCAGUGGCUGCCCCCUGGGUCCACGAACACCCGAUGCACAGCCUGGUCGCCCGAGCGCCCUCCCCCGAGGUCCAGAUCUGCAGUGCAGUGCAGUGAAGAGACCAAUUAGUCGUGUGCUGUCAUUACUUUUUUUCUUUUUUUUUCCCUCCUUUUCGGAAGAGAGGAAAAAGGGGAGUGUGGAGAGGGGAGAGAAAGAAAGGGACAGAAGAGAAAGGAAAGGGGAGGGAAGCAAAGCCACCUUGGGUGUCGCCGAGGCCGAAGUCGUGGCGGAUGAGCCAACCCUUGCUGGUGCCGAGGAGGAUAACAUCAUUGCCGGCGGACAUGGAGGUGAUGACGCCGUGGCCCUUGGCGGCGUGGCGCUCCAGGGGGUCGACCGAGAAAAGCCGCCGGCCGACCGCAUCCAUGGCCUUGAAUUCGGAGUUCACCCCCGGAGGACUCCGAGGAAAGAGGAUCGCGCCAAAAGACGAGGAUGAGAGGGGUAUCAAUCGCCGGGUUGUGUCUCUGGUUAUAUUGAUGAGGCCCAGAGACCUGUACUGUACGAGGGUUUUUUUUUUAAAUGACCCUGUAAAAUUUUAUAAUUGGCAAAAUGACCCUCUAAAAAUUUUAUUUGUAAAACUAACCCUUCUUUGCAUAUGUCUCAGAUUUUUCUCGCAAAGACGGUGAAUCGUUCACCGUCUUUGCAUAUGUCUCAUGAAGGCGGUGAAUGGUUCACCGCCUUAUGAAUUCACCGCCUUCAUAAGGCGAAGGCGGUGAACCAUUCACCGCCUUUAGAGCAAAACCGCUCCCUCGCUUUCCUUACAAGGCCACCUUUCCAACUGCCCUGUGCCCUCGAGAAGACAGUAAAUAGUUCACCGUCUUAACUAAGACGGUGAAUGAUUCACCGUCUUUAUUGUAAACCCCCCACUCAGUCAAAUUUGGCCAAGUUCUGGAGGCUGGGUUAAAACAGAGAUAAGACGGUGAAUAGUUCACUGUCUUAUUAGUGCUGCACUAAAGACGGUGAACUAUUCACCGUCUUUAGUGAACACCCGGGCCUAGGAAAGACGGUGAAUCGUUCACCGUCUUCACCGUACUUAAUAAAGACGGUGAACAAUUCACCGUCUUAUCUAGGUAUACCCAGCCCCAAACCCCGACACCUCUCCCUCCCUCUUCGCUCUCUUUCUCUCUCUAUCUCUCUAUCUCUCUCUCCCUCUCUGCCCAUCCCUCUCCAGGAGUCGCACCCCGGUCGCCGCCGCCCCUGCCGACGUCGCCGCCGCCAAUCACCAUCGACCCACCGAGCCGCCGCUCAUGCCACAGCAACCUACAUUGCAAGUAUAAACCUCUCUUAGCAAGUUUAAACUAGGUUUAAACUAGAACCUAGUUUAAACUAGGUUUAAACCUAGUUUAAACAUUUACACCCAUUUUAAACUAGGUAACGUAGUUUAAACUUAGUUUUUCACUUUUAAACCCAGUUUAAACUAGGUAACCUAGUUUUUAAAAGUUUAAACUAGAUAACCUAGGUAUAUGUUUAAACUAGGUAUAUGUUUAAACUAAGUUUAAACUAGAUAACCUAGGUAUAUGUUUAACAUUAUGGAACUAGGUUUAAACCUAGUUUAAACUAUGUUUACCUAGUUUAAACCUAUAUUUACCUAGUUUAAACUAGGUAUAUGUUUAAACUAGAUUUAAACAGUUUAAACUAGGUUUAAACCUAGUUUAAACUUUUAAACCCAGUUUAAACUAGGACCAUAGUAACAUGAGAUUUUUAGGACCAUAGUAACACUUCCUUUAUUUGCUUGUUGCAAACUUUCUAUCAUUUAGUUAUCAUUUCACUUAAGUUUAGUUUUCACAAAUGAGAACAUGGAGAAUGCUGUUGAUUAUUUUUCUAUGUAGUUAAAAUGGCUAGUCGUCGAAUGUCUCUUAGUGCUCAUUGGGAUGGACAGUUAGAUAUGGAUGGAAAUGAUCCUCGAUAUUUCAGUGGUCGAAAGAAAUUGAUCGCGAUUCGUUCAGAUACGACCUAUGCGAAUUUUGAGAGGAGAAUAUAUCGUUUAGUAAAUUGUAAUAGAGAAGAAUGUUGUCUUAAAUACACAAUUCGAUGCCCUACGAGAGUGAAUGAAUAUAUUGCUCAUGAUAUAGUAGAUGAUGAAUCAUUGGAGGGAUUAAUUGGAUUGUUUGAACAUUAUGGAUGUGUGUCGUUAUACAUAGAGAAAGAUUUAUAUCCGUCAGAGACACAAUAUCCGUCGCAAGGCUAUUACACAAGCCUGCUACAUAAUGAUAUCGAUGUGGGAUUUCUGGAGAAUCCAAUUGGUGACCGUGAAGUUGGUAAUGAACCAGGCGUAAGAAUGACAAGGUCAGUAAUAUAUCUCAAGAUUGCGAUGAAUAUUUCUUUUAAUUAUAAAAUAUUUUGAUAAAUUAUAAUUAUAAAUACUGCAGACAGAGUCAGUCUCCAUGUGUAAGGUACCGGACUUUUAAAAUCAUAAAGUUACGGUGUGCAUUUGGUUAGAGAACCAUUUGAAUGGUUCCGGUGAAGUUCGGUGAAGUCAGCUGUGAGUGACAGUGGCCCGAUACCUACAGGUAGGGCAGAGAGUUGGUCAGGACGGUAGUCCGAGCUUGGACCCGAGUGCGCGGAAUGCCGCGUGUUGGAUCAUGAGAUCGAGGAUACACAGGGUGUGUAGUGAUCCAACCCGAGGACUUGACGUGGUUGGGGUCUUGGUUGCUCCUGUUUGGAGUGUGUGCGAAUUCCCAAGUGAGAAUUUCGCCCGGAAAUGAGGAUUGGGUCUACGAUGCGAGCGAAAGACGCUAUGCAUAGUUACGACAGGUUUAGGCGGUAUGCCGACGUAGUAUUUGUGACCGUUGGUCCACCUGUGGAAGCCGACGUAAUCGGUUUAGCCGAUAACUCUGCGGAGGAGUUGGUGUAAGAAAGUGAAUUCUCGAAAUACGAGAGUUGGACUUUGCUCAAAAUCGACUAAUUGUCGAGUGGGUGUGCUUUGGAGAAGCCGAAGAGGUCAAAUGCACCAAAAGUGCAUUGCAAUGGACCCGCGAAAGCAAGUGUGCAAAAAUCUGCACUUGGCAGAUUUGCUCUCGGGGACCGGUCCCUGGCAGGGAAGGACCGGUCCCCGUAUCUGGUGGUUGCGGGGUUGCGUGAUGCAACCGGUCCCCGGGCCAGAGGGACCGGUCCCCGUACGCGUAACCAGCGAGAAGAGGAAAUUGGCUAAGUCCUGCGAGAGCAAGCUCUCGAGGACCGGUCUCUGGUGGACGGAUCAGUCUCCGGGAGACUGGUCCUCUAGGGGGAGACCGGUUCCCGUAGGUGUGUUCAGGCUGAAGGCUCUCGGGGACCGGUCCCUCAUCGGGAGGACCAGUCCCUCUGUACAAAAGUUGCCCAGGCAGGUUGGGUCAUGUUGGAGGAGUUGGAAAGCUUGAGGAUAAUGUUCUUUUGUGGAUUGAGAUUCGAGAUGCGCCGGAGUAGGCCAUCUCUCAAUAGAGCAAAGAUCCAGAUGUGAUUAGAGCACUCUCGAUUGGUCGAUGCACCAAUGAUAUUGCUUCUAAGCAAUGUUGGUGAUCGAAUCGGAGUGUGUUCCCUGACAGGAAAGUAAAUGCAGAGAAGAGUUCUUGCAUGCCAAAUGGUGAAUGGUGUCGGAGCAUGUAGUGUCGUUGAGUUUCGACUUGCGCUACCACAAAGAAUGGCGGAGACCCGUAAUGCACUUUCGGGGUUAUGCUUAGCAAAUGUGAGUGAAUCUGNAGUCUCACAUCCCCCGUAGUGGGCCUUUGGACAGUUCCAAUGAGCAUAAGGCCACUCCGAAGUGGAAAAGUGCAUUGCACCCGUCGUUACUCGAUAAAGAGAAUUGGAGGGUGAGUUGGAUUUGAGUGAGUGAGUUUCGGGGACGAAACUCUUUUUAAGGAGGGGAGAAAGAUGGAAGAAUGUAACAUACCGGAUUUUAAAUAUAAAAAUAAAAAUAAAUAAAAAUAGUAUGAGAUACUAUUUUAUUGGAUUUAGAGAAGUGAAAUAUAGGUUGAAAAUGACCUGUGCUGAAAUCGGAGCGAAAACAGAAGAUUUAGAAUUUUCUGUGAGAGACGGGGCAGAUAAAUUAGCAGAAAAUGCACAGUGUCAGAAAAUUAUAAAAAUUGGCGGAGGUGUCAGAAAUAUUUUUAUGAGGCUAGAUUUAAAAUUUCAUGCCAUUCUGACACCCGAAAAGUGGAAAACAGAUGUCCAAAAGCUAUCUGAUAAAGAUUGCAGUUCGAUACAGUUUUCAGUGACCAAACGGGGUCGAAACUGAAAGAUUAAAAUUUCUUUGGACUUAUUAAGUGAAACCGAACAUGCCUGUCAAAUUUGAGCUCAAACGGACGUUCAGAAGGGCUCCGACGAAAAAUGCCAGUUUCUAAACUGCCCGAAGUGAAUAGUGUAUAGUUGAGGGGCAAAAUGGUAAAAAGGGAUUAAAUCCCUUUCUUCUUCUCCUUCCUCAACUGCAGCAGCCACAAGACACACACACACACAUGCGCAUGGAGGGAGAGUGUUAGGAAGUGAAUUCUCGAAACUCGAGGAUUAGACUUCGAUUAGAAUCGACUAGUUGUCGAGUGCGUAGGCUUCGGAAAGUCCGAAGGUGAUUAUGAUGCAUAAAGUGCAUUAAGGAAGGGUCCGCGAGAGCACCAAGUGCAAAACUUGCACUGGAGCAGAAAUGCUCUCGGGGACCGAUCCCUGGCAAGGAGGGACUGGUCCCAUCAGGCUGGGUUGCGGAGGUCUCUGAUGAGACCGGUCCCUGGCAGGCAGGGACCGGUUCCCGAAGGACAGCCCAGCGAGAAUAGCCGAAAUUUGGCUAAGUCCCGAGAACCCAACUCUCGGGAACCGGUCUCUCGAGUGAGAACCGGUCUCCCGGGGACCGGUCUCUCAGGUAAGGACCGGUUCCCGAACGCGAAAACCCCUCUGCUCGAAAUGGCAGCCUUCGGGGACUGGUCUCCCCGAGCUGGGACCGGUCCCUCACUGCGAAAAUGCCCAAAGAGGGCUGGUUUGAAGGAUGAAAAGUUGAGGGGGCUAUUUGCAAAAUGGCCUUUAUCAGAGGCUUGGGGCUCCUCUCUCCCUCUCAUUUGCUCUCUCUCCCUCUCACACUUUUUCCCUCUCUCUCUAGAAAGAAAAGAAGGAGAAGAAGAAGGAGAAGAAAGAAAGGAAGGAAAAGAAGAAGAAGUGGAAGGAGAAGUCCAAGAAGAAGAAGAAGAAGGUCUUCUUCCCUCUCUCCUUCAAGCUAGGGCAAGCUUGGAGCUGGGCUUAGAGGUAAACUCCAGACCCACUCAUGGUAGAUUUCUUAGGAUUGGGUUUUAUUGCUUAGAAUUGGUUCAAAUGGAACCUAGAGGAGAUGAAUAGGUGGUUCGGGCUCGCAAUCGAAGCUCGCACCACGGAUUUCUUCUCCGUUGCCAUUCUAGGGCACGGAAUUGUGGAUUUUGGAAAUAUAGGGUUUUGAUCUAAUCUAUUAGGUCGCAAACCUAAUUGCUAGGUCUCUGAACGCGUCGGCGAAGUCGGUUUCUCGAUCCGACGAGCGGGUGCGGAGAAAUCGCCGAAUCGGGCACUUGAGGGCUCGCUUCGCCCCGAGGAGUUGAAGCGGCGUGCAAAGACUGCAGCGUCGAGUUUUCUAUCAUCGCGGCAUCACCAAGAGGUGGGUGGUGUCCAUCCCGAAGCAAUUGAGCUCCCUUCUAUGUCUUAAUACAUGUCGAUUCUUGGAUCUUGUAUUAUUGCAUUAUAGGAUGAUUGUGCAUCGCCUUUCCUUAUACUUUCCUUGAUGAUAUCGUAGCAUGUAUUGGAUACUGACAUAGUGGAUUGAUAAGGAUUGGGUCGAGACUUGUGAAUCCUAUAGUGCAGAGAAAGUGAUGGGCUCAAUGGUUGGUCUAAUGAUGAACAAAGAACAAGUGGCAUCUAGUCAAUAGUAAACAAUGGACGAGUGGCAAUUUAGUUGAUAGUGUAUAAGAAAACAAGUGAUGCAUGUUAAACUUGGUGUAUACGACGCCUAUGGACUAUAUGAUGAUUGUAACCCUAGAGGAUAGGGUAUUCUCGAGACGAGGAUUGGAUCAUGCUCACGGUCUGUUUUUAAAUCUUGUGAUGGAAGCCCCACACAAGUAGUGCGCUCCGGAGUUGGUCACGUGGGAUUGCCUAUUUUGGGUCCAAGGGAUUGCCUAUUUUAGGCCUCGGCAGACGGUCUCGGUUCGUAGUGCGAGUUGACCCUCCCUACCUUCGAGAUGGCUAGUGAGCAGUAGGCUCCUUCAGGGAAGCCACGAGAUUAAGAAACAAGUAAAUGAGAUUGAUGAACGGGUAAAUAGCUUUACCUUUGGGCAUGAUAAUGGGUUAGUUGUUUAUCUAUUUCAUUGUACAUGCAUUCAUAUAUUUAUGAUUGGGCAUAGUAGCGUAGCUUUACUUCUGUCAUUUACCGUUUUCCUUAUCUAUCUAUCUAUCGGUAUAUCUACUUUUGCCUGCUUGGACCUAGUGGGGAGAUCGGCGGAGUCGGCGGCCGAACCCACUGGGAACUAAGGAAGUUAGUUCUCACCCCCAUUUUACUACAGGGCCGAGCGCGAGUUCACACGGCGAGGAUCGCGGUAAGGGCCUAGCGCCCUAGUUGCAUUAGCUACCUACCUUUUGCAUUAGCUUUACCCUGUAUUAUGUUUGAGAGUAGUUGUUGUAUAGGGUGAGGUUUGAGUGAAUGUACUUAUAUUUUGGAAGUUGUAAAAGAUGUAAUUAAAUGUAUUAAGUUAAAUGAAUACAAAAGAUAGCAUCUUCUCUCUUUAUGUACUUGUAUCUUUCAUACUUGUAUCUUGCUCUCGUCUUGCUAGCACUGGUGGUGCUCCUUAUGAUCGUGUAUUCAUGAAUUGAUUCCUAGGUAAAUUCUUAUACAUGAUCUGUUGGUUAGCCUAGGGCGGACAGGGGAGGUCCUGUCCGUUCGGCGUCUGUUCGACGCGCCCGGAGCCGGACCAAAUUGGUAGCGGUCUCGGGGCGUGACAGAGAGAGAGAAACUCUCAUUUCUCUCUCUAAAUCUCUCCCAAAAUGGAUGGAUUUGGUGGAGAUUGAAGCUUGGAGGUGAAUCGCCUUCGUCUUCUUCAUCUUCUCCAUGGUUUGGAGCUUAUUUUGAGGUGAGCUUCUUGAGCCCUCUCAUGGUAGAUCUUCAACGC